CUCUUUUUUUCCUCUAUCUUUUUUUUCUCCCUCUUUCCAAGACAAACUAGAUAAGAUGCAGAUUGGAUCAGGCGAAGAUGUGAAUGACCUCAACUAUGAUUAUGACAAUGAACAGUGCGUAGCACGUGGUGGAAAUUAAUGGAUGGAAUGGUGGACAGCGGAAGGGAUAAUGAUGCAGCUGCGGCGUGACUAAUGUGAACAGAACUCGAAACUCUAAAGGAACUAGACACUAAGACCAGCAACUAACACGACGAUGCAACCGAUAAUUCAACUAUGCAAGCAAUGAAUAGAAAAUUGCAAAGGCUCGGACUGGCUUGGAUAAAUGAUGAACAGAUCUAACUUUUUUAUGGCUUUUUCAUGGACUGUAGGUAUGAAUGACAGAUGCGAUCUAAACUAUGAAAAAUCUCACCGAGCAACCUGAAAACUGAUACCACUUGUGAUAGAGGCAAAGGUGUCCCGUCUUUCGAUGAGAUGAUGGAUAUCGCUUUGGUGGAAGUCGACUUUGACGAUCCGACUACGAACGUGCGAGGACGUCGCGCCUUAGCAAUCGCUAAACCAACUCCGAGAGGUUAUUGACCACGCCGGAGCACGAUCAACCUGACCACGAGGGUCUGUUUCCUGCGAGCAAACGAAGAACAAGCAAGAAACUGAGAUUGCAAUCUGGAUAUUGCGAAUAUAAGAUGAAAGCUUUAUUGAUCAAGGUGGGGUUCUGUGACGCCUUUGUCUGGUCGUUGAACACAAACGAAGUACGCGAAGUUGCAGCUAUGGCGAACUUUUAAUCUAAACAAAACCCAAAGUCUAAACGAUGCCCUAAGGGCUGUAUAUAUGGAGGAAGAGGGGGGAAUUUCGUGGCCCUUGGUGGAGGGGUCCGAAAUCAACCCUAUCUCUUGUUUCCCCACACAUACGGACUCUAAAAAUAGCCUAUACUUAUGUAUUUCGAAAUUACAUGGGCCUGGCCCAAUAAUAAGGUGACGCAGCACCUAAAAUAGCCUCGGGAUGAAAUUUAUGAAGUGGCAUCUUGUAUAUUUCGUCCAAGGCUUCAUGCACCCAUUAUGGUGGCUUCAAAGUCCUGAAAUCAUCACUUGUAACUCCGUUCUUGUUUUCCUUGCGCAUGCCAUCAUCUCCAUGCUUGUUCUUGCUCCAAUGUUCAUCCUUCUCCAAGCUAGGCCCUUUAUUUGUAAGAAAAACAAAUGUAUCCAAUUUAGGCAGCAUCAUAUUCUCAUGAACAUUAGAAUCAUUACCAAGAAACGAAAGUACCUGGUAAUUUAGUUGGCGUGCACGAGCUCUAGUAAUUGGUCCAGUAUGUAUGGCAGCAGGGGCUGUGGGUGUAACAAUUGUAUUGAUGUCCUCAUCAACUUGAUAGAGGCGAGGGUGUCCCGAUCUUUCGAUGAGAUGAUAAGUAUCGAUUUGGUGGAGACGACUUUGAUGAUCCGACUACAAACGUGCACGACGUUGCACCUUAGCAAUCGCUAAACCAAUCUCCUGAGGUUACUGACGAUGCCGGAAGCACGGUCAGCCUGACCACGAAGGUCUAUUCCUGCAAGCAAUCGAAGAACGAGCAAGAAUAUGAUAAAGCAAUCUGAAUAUUGCAAAUAUAUAUGAGGUAUUGAUAAUGGUGGGGAUCCGUAAGCGGUCUUGGUCUGGUCGUUGGACACAAACGAAGUACACGAAGUUGCAGUGGCUAACUUUUAACUAAACAAAUCCCAAGGAAAAGUACUAGAUGGAUCUACUUAUAUAGGAGCAAGGGGUGGCGGCCAAGGAGGUGGGAGGACGUCCCAAGGCAGCCUAAAACUAAAUCUAGGUCGUACAAGGCCAAUGGGCCCAAGUGGAGGUGAUGUAACACCUUUGGACUUGUAGUUUGACUCGGAUUCUGCUGCAGCAUCAGAUUGUUUCAUCCACAACUCAACGCUCCGGACGAAUUUGAAGGUGAUACCAAUUGGGUUGGAAAGUGCACGAAAUCUAGUUUCCAACAAAAAAAGAAUCACCCAAUUCGGAGUCCAUAUGAAAAACUUGUGUGCGUUUUGAGUUAGGUGUGUCUGUGCAGUCCGAAUCUGAAUCCAGAACGUGAGAGACUUGGACUCUAUCUUCUCUUGGGCCAAAAGUGACGUGAGAGAACUUUUUGGACAGCAAAUAAACAUCUCAUUCUUCCUUAUCUUCAUAUUUGGAUUGUACAAAUGUCCCAUACACCUGCAAUUAGACAAAACACAGAAGUGUGUGAAGUAUUUUUGUUCUGGAUAACAUAAAUAGAUUAUUGAAUAGUUUGCACUAGAAAUCACCUGACAAAUAUGCAUAUAUGCAAUAUUUUUGGUCAUAUCCAAGGUAGUCAUGUCCUCAUCACCUUGAAUGGUCCAUCGGCUCGAGGUAGUAGUUUGGACUUGUGUUCGUUGGGGAAGUGGUCCUUGCGACGGUGUAGCCACACGAGAUCACCUAUGUUGAAGAUCAUUGGUUGUUUGUUGACGUUGAGCUUGGUCGCUAGGCGAUGUACUUGGCGCUCAAUGAUGGUCCUUGUAUCUUCAUGCAUCUUCUUGAUGUAGCUUGCUCGUGCACUCGCAUCCAUGUUGGUGCGCUCUUGUAGAGGGAGAGGUAGAAUGUCCAAUGGGGACAACGGGUUGAAGCCGUAGACGACCUCGAAGGGGGACUUGCCGGUAGUCGAAUGUCUUGCACGGUUGUAGGCGUACUCAGCAAUGGGUAGACAUGCCUCCCACUCCUUGAUGUUCUUCUUGAUCAACACGCGAAGCAUAGUGGAUAGUGUCCGGUUCGUCACCUCCGUUUGGCCGUCGGUUUGAGGAUGGUAUGCGGAUGAGAAUAAGAGCUUGAUUCCGAGCUUGGCGCAUAGAGUCUUCCAAAAGUAACUCAAGAGCUUGACGUCAUGGUCGAAGACGAUUGUCUUUGGUACUCCAUGGAGGCGCAAGAUUUCCCUACAAAAGAGGUUGGCAACAUGUGAAGCAUCGUCUAUCUUGUUGCAAGGAAUGACAUGUGCCAUCUUAGAAAAUCGAUCCACAACAACAAAUAUGGAAUCCUUUCCACUUUGAGUUCUAGGCAAACCAAGUACAAAAUCCAUGCUAAUAUCUUCCCAAGGUUGAUAAGGAAUAGGAAGAGGCCUGUAAAGACCAUGAGAUUGAGCUUUAGACUUAGCUUUGCGACAUGUAGAGCAUUGGGUGGUGAAGCGUGAGACGUCGUGGAACAUCUUGGGCCAAAAGUAGUUCUUAGAGAGCGUGGCGAAAGUCUUGUCGUGUCCAAAGUGUCCCAUGAGUCCGUGAUAGAGGCAAUGGUGUCCCGUCUUUCGAUGAGAUGAUGGAUAUCGCUUUGGUGGAAGUCGACUUUGACGAUCCGACUACGAACGUGCGAGGGUCUGUUUCCUGCGAGCAAACGAAGAACAAGCAAGAAACUGAGAUUGCAAUCUGGAUAUUGCGAAUAUAAGAUGAAAGCUUUAUUGAUCAAGGUGGGGUUCUGUGACGUCUUUGUCUGGUCGUUGAACACAAACGAAGUACGCGAAGUUGCAGCUAUGGCGAACUUUUAAUCUAAACAAAACCCAAAGUCUAAACGAUGCCCUAAGGGCUGUAUAUAUGGAGGAAGAGGGGGGAAUUUCGUGGCCCUUGGUGGAGGGGUCCGAAAUCAACCCUAUCUCUUGUUUCCCCACACAUACGGACUCUAAAAAUAGCCUAUACUUAUGUAUUUCGAAAUUACAUGGGCCUGGCCCAAUAAUAAGGUGACGCAGCACCUAAAAUAGCCUCGGGACGAAAUUUAUGAAGUGGCAUCUUGUAUAUUUCGUCCAAGGCUUCAUGCACCCAUUAUGGUGGCUUCAAAGUCCUGAAAUCAUCACUUGUAACUCCGUUCUUGUUCCCCUUGUGCAUGCCAUCAUCUCCAUGCUUGUUCUUGCUCCAAUGUUCAUCCUUCUCCAAGCUAGGCCCUUCAUUUGUAAGCAAAACAAAUGUAUCCAAUUUAGGCAGCAUCAUAUUCUCAUGAACAUUAGAAUCAUUACCAAGAAACAAAAGUACCUGGUAAUUUAGUUGGCGUGCACGAGCUCUAGUAAUUGGUCCAGUAUGUAUAGCAGCAGGGGCUGUGGGUGUAACAAUUGUAUUGAUGUCCUCAUCAGUCCGCCUCCAUGAGCCUCUUGCAAAAGGAGCAAACGAAGAGAAGACUCGGGAAUGCAUAGUUUGCUAGCUCUCAUAAGAUAACCAUCCUUGAUGUAAUAAUGUUCCCAAGAUGUAUGCGUCAAACAUUUAGCAUAAUGGUGCAAAAGAUGGAUUACUAGCAUACAAGUCUUUUAUGUGCUCAAAGCCAAUAACAUUCAACUCAAGUUUAGUGACAAGCGUGCAUAUGCGUGAAAGUGCAUUGGCAACUACAUUUUCCUUACCCUUAAUGUACUUGAUCAGAUAUGGGAAAGAUUCAAUAAAUUCACUCCAUUUGGCAUGACGCUUGUUCAACUUAGUUUGACCUUUUAAGUAUUUAAGUGUUUCAUGAUCGGUAUGUAUGACAAACUCAUGAGGUCUAAGAUAAUGUUCCCAAACAUGUAGGACACACACUAAAGCAUACAAUUCUUUGUCAUAGAUGGGAUAGUUAAGUUGAGCACCGGAGAGUUGUUCACUAAAAUAUGCAAUUGCUCGUUUUUCUUGCAUCAAAACUCUGCCAAUUCAGAUACCACUUGCAUCACAAUGAACCUCAAAAGUUUUGUCAAAGUUGGGCAAAGCAAGAAUCGGAGCAUGAGUAAGCAAAGAUUUGAGCUCAUCAAAAGCGGUUGAUUGCAAAGAUCCCGAAACAAAAGGAGCAUUCUUCUUACUCAAAGCAUGCAAAGGGGCGGCAAUAGUGCUAAAGUUUUUCACAAAGCGACGAUAAAAACCCGCAAGACCAAGAAAACUUCGCACUUGUUGCAAAUUGGUGGGUUGUGGCCAAGUUUUAAUUGCCUCAAUUUUAGUUUCAUCAACAUGGACACCCUUGGAAGAGACAACGAAACCCAAGAAAACCACUUUGUCAACACCAAAUAUGCACUUUUUUAUGUUGGCAUAAAGACUUUCUGAUGAGGACAUCAAUACAAUUGUUACACCCACAGCCCCUGCUGCUAUACAUACUGGACCAAUUACUAGAGCUCGUGCACGCCAACUAAAUUACCAGGUACUUUCGUUUCUUGGUAAUGAUUCUAAUGUUCAUGAGAAUAUGAUGCUGCCUAAAUUGGAUACAUUUGUUUUGCUUACAAAUGAAGGGCCUAGCUUGGAGAAGGAUGAACAUUGGAGCAAGAACAAGCAUGGAGAUGAUGGCAUGCGCAAGGGGAACAAGAACGGAGUUACAAGUGAUGAUUUUAGGACUUUGAAGCCACCAUAAUGGGUGCAUGAAGCCUUGGACGAAAUAUACAGGAUGCCACUUCAUAAAUUUCGUCCCGAGGCUAUUUUAGGUGCUGCGUCACCUUAUUAUUGGGCCAGGCCCAUGUAAUUUCGAAAUACAUAAGUAUAGGCUAUUUUUAGAGUCCGUAUGUGUGGGGAAACAAGAGAUAGGGUUGAUUUCGGACCCCUCCACCAAGGGCCACGAAAUUCCCCCCUCUUCCUCCAUAUAUACAGCCCUUAGGGCAUCGUUUAGACUUUGGGUUUUGUUUAGAUUAAAAGUUCGCCAUAGCUGCAACUUCGCGUACUUCGUUUGUGUUCAACGACCAGACAAAGGCGUCACAGAACCCCACCUUGAUCAAUAAAGCUUUCAUCUUAUAUUCGCAAUAUCCAGAUUGCAAUCUUAGUUUCUUGCUUGUUCUUCGUUUGCUCGCAGGAAACAGACCCUCGUGGUCAGGUUGAUCGUGCUCCGGCGUGGUCAAUAACCUCUCGGAGUUGGUUUAGCGAUUGCUAAGGCGCGACGUCCUCGCACGUUUGUAGUCGGAUCGUCAAAGUCGACUUCCACCAAAGCGAUAUCCAUCAUCUCAUCGAAAGACGGGACACCUUUGCCUCUAUCAAACGUGUUUUGAGUGUGCAGGUCACACAAGUUGAGCAAAAUCAGAGGCACAAUUUGUUCCAUACCAAGGGAGUUGUGAAGGAACGUUCUGUGCGCGUCAUAAUAGACGGAGGGAGCUGCAACAACUUGGCUAGCAUGGAGAUGGUGGAGAAGCUUUCUCUCACCACAAGACCACAUCCACAUCCUUACUACAUCCAAUGGUUCAACAACAUCGGCAAGGUUAAGGUAACACGUACUGUUCGUGUGCAUUUUAGUAUCUCUACAUAUGCUGAUUAUGUUGAUUGUGAUGUGGUACCUAUGCAAGCAUGUUCCUUAUUACUUGGUAGACCAUGGCAAUUUGAUAAAAAUUCUGUACACCAUGGUAGAAACAAUCACUAUACUCUUGUUCAUAAGGAUAAAAAUAUUUCUUUGCUUCCUAUGACUCCUGAUUCCAUUUUGAAAGAUGAUAUUAAUAAGCUAAUAAAGCACAACAGGAGAAGAAUAAGAGUGAAAAUCAGAUUGUGGCAAAAGAAUUUGAGCAACAAAUGAAGCCUAAUAAUAAACCAUCUAGUGUUGCUUCUGAAAUUAAAUUGAAAAGUGCAUGUUUAUUUGCCACCAAAUCUGAUAUUGAUGAGCUAGAUUUCAGCAAAUCUGUUUGCUAUGCUUUUGUGUGCAAAGAGGCAUUAUUUUCAUUCGAGGACAUGCCUUCCUCUUUGCCUCCUGCUGUCACUAACAUUUUGCAGGAGUUCGCUGACGUUUUUCCACAAGACGUGCCACCGGGAUUACCGCCUAUUCGAGGGAUUGAGCAUCAGAUUGACUUAAUUCCCGGUGCUUCACUGCCAAACCGUGCACCAUACCGUACCAAUCCAGAGGAGACGAAGGAGAUUAUGCGUCAAGUACAAGAGCUUCUCGACAAAGGUUAUAUACGCGAAUCCCUUAGUCCUUGUGCUGUUCCUAUUAUUCUAGUGCCGAAAAAGGAUGGUACAUCACGUAUGUGUGUUGAUUGUAGAGGCAUUAAUAAUAUUACUAUUCGUUAUCAUCAUCCUAUUCCUAGGCUAGAUGAUAUGCUUGAUGAAUUGAGUGGCUCUACAAUAUUCACCAAAGUUGAUUUGCGUAGUGGCUACCAUCAAAUUCGUAUGAAAUUGGGAGAUGAAUGGAAAACUGCAUUUAAAACUAAGUUUGGAUUAUAUGAGUGGUUAGUCAUGCCUUUUGGGUUAACUAAUGCACCUAGUACUUUCAUGAGAUUAAUGAACGAAGUUUUACGUGCUUUCAUUGGACGAUUUGUGGUAGUUUACUUUGAUGACAUAUUGAUUUAUAGCAGAUCUUUGGAGGAACAUUUGGAACAUUUACGUGCUGUUUUUAUUGCUCUACGUGAUGCACGUUUGUUUGGUAACCUUGGGAAGUGCACCUUUUGCACCGACCGAGUAUCUUUUCUUGGCUAUGUUGUUACUCCACAGGGAAUUGAAGUUGAUAAAGCCAAGAUUGAAGCUAUUGAGAGUUGGCCGCAGCCCAAAACGGUCACACAAGUGAGGAGUUUUCUUGGCCUCGCUGGAUUCUAUAGGCGUUUUGUGAGAGAUUUCAGCACCAUUGCUGCACCUCUCAAUGAGCUUACAAAGAAAGAUGUGCCUUUUCUUUGGGGUACCGCACAGGAAGAAGCCUUCACGGUAUUGAAAGAUAAGUUGUCACAUGCUCCUUUACUCCAACUUCCUGAUUUUAAUAAGACUUUUGAGCUUGAAUGUGAUGCUAGUGGAAUUGGAUUAGGAGGUGUGUUAUUACAAGAUGGCAAACCUGUUGCAUACUUUUCUGAAAAAUUGAGUGGGCCUAGUCUGAAUUAUUCUACUUAUGAUAAAGAAUUAUAUGCUCUUGUUCGGACUUUAGAAACAUGGCAACAUUAUUUAUGGCCCAAAGAAUUUGUUAUACAUUCUGAUCAUGAAUCUUUGAAACAUAUUAAAAGUCAAGCUAAACUGAAUCGUAGACAUGCUAAAUGGGUUGAAUUCAUUGAGACUUUCCCUUAUGUCAUUAAACACAAGAAGGGAAAAGAAAAUGUUAUUGCUGAUGCAUUGUCUCGUCGCUAUACUAUGUGAUGAGGACAUCAAUACAAUUGUUACACCCACAGCCCCUGCUGCUAUACAUACUGGACCAAUUACUAGAGCUCGUGCACGCCAACUAAAUUACCAGGUACUUUCGUUUCUUGGUAAUGAUUAUAAUGUUCAUGAGAAUAUGAUGCUGCCUAAAUUGGAUACAUUUGUUUUGCUUACAAAUGAAGGGCCUAGCUUGGAGAAGGAUGAACAUUGGAGCAAGAACAAGCAUGGAGAUGAUGGCAUGCGCAAGGGAAACAAGAACGGAGUUACAAGUGAUGAUUUCAGGACUUUGAAGCCACCAUAAUGGGUGCAUGAAGCCUUGGACGAAAUAUACAAGACGCCACUUCAUAAAUUUCGUCCCGAGGCUAUUUUAGGUGCUGCGUCACCUUAUUAUUGGGCCAGGCCCAUGUAAUUUCGAAAUACAUAAGUAUAGGCUAUUUUUAGAGUCCGUAUGUGUGGGGAAACAGAGAUAGGGUUGAUUUCGGACCCCUCCACCAAGGGCCACGAAAUUCCCCCCCUCUUCCUCCAUAUAUACAGCCCUUAGGGCAUCGUUUAGACUUUGGGUUUUGUUUAGAUUAAAAGUUCGCCAUAGCUGCAACUUCGCGUACUUCGUUUGUGUUCAACGACCAGACAAAGGCGUCACAGAACCCCACCUUGAUCAAUAAAGCUUUCAUCUUAUAUUCGCAAUAUCCAGAUUGCAAUCUUAGUUUCUUGCUUGUUCUUCGUUUGCUCGUAGGAAACAGACCUUCGUGGUCAGGUUGAUCGUGCUCCGGCGUGGUCAAUAACCUCUCGGAGUUGGUUUAGCGAUUGCUAAGGCGCGACGUCCUCGCACGUUCGUAGUCGGAUCGUCAAAGUCGACUUCCACCAAAGCGAAAUCCACCAUCUCAUCGAAAGACGGGACACCUUUGCCUCUAUCAAGUGGUAUCAGAUUUCCAGGUUGCUCGGUGAGAUUUUACAGUUUUUCGUAGUUUAGAUCGAGUCUGUUCUUCAUACCUACAGUCCACGAAAAAGCCACCAAAAAAAAAUUAGGGUUAGUUCAUCAUAUCCGAACCAAUCUGAGCCUUUGCAUAAUCUUUUUAGGGUUUUGCUUUGUUGAAUUUGCGGUUGCAUCGUCGUGUCUAGUUGCUGGUCUUAGAGUCUAGUCUUUUAGAGUUUCGAGUUCUGGUCAUAAGUUGUCACGCCGCCGCCGCGCCAUCAUCAUCGCCCCUGCCAUCCACCACUACCGCUCCGAAUCCGUAUCCAUAUACCACCACCGAUCCAUAUCCAUAUACUACCACCACCGCUGCCAUAUACCACCACCAUAUAUCCACCACCAAUCCGAGUUCCUUGAUUAUUAGGGUUGUUUUCGAGAUCCAUCUAGUUUCCGAUUCGUGUUUCCUUGCCGGAGUAGGUUUCGGAAAAAAAAAGAGUCGGGUAGCCACGCUCCGUUUAGGCCCAAAAUUUUUCGAAAACGCAUUUUUCGAAAAAAUUUCUGGCUAUCCUAUUUUUAGGUGUUUCUGAGUGUUUUGAGACAGGUGCCAUUAUAGGAAGUUUUUUUUGACCCGUUUCCAGUUUUUGGGUCCGGGCAGUCGAAAAAAAAAAAUUGGUCGAAAAAAUUUCGUGCCCAUCCUGUCAGUUUGAGCUAGGAAGAGUUUUGAGACACUCGCCAUUAUAGUGAUUUUUCGCAAAAAAAAAAGCAGCGCAAAAAAAAAGAGCGCAAAAAAAAAGAGCGAAAAAAAAUAUUCAGAGUGUGCUUUUCCCUUGUUUACGUGCCGCGCCGUGAUUUUGUUAGUGUUCUAGGCUCGCGUCUCUAGCACAGUCUAGCCUAGGACCAGCACAGUACCGUCGUUGAGCGUUUAUUCAACUUUGCAUCUCUGAAUUGAUUAUUGCUGACCCUUUUUGCUACCAUAUUAUAAGCCUUCCCAGCUCCACAUACAUCUACGUCGUGCGUUUGACUCUCCCUGGUAAUCGCUCUAUCCAAGCUUUGAGAGUUUUUGACUACAACGGUUGCCGAUCACCGCCUGCUGCUGGGUAAGAACUGGUAAGAAUUUGAGAUUUGCUUGACGGAUUUGUGACACCCACCACCACCACUUGUUCGUAGUCUGUAGGAUCAUAUUCUUGUGUGUUUCUAUUGCUUCUAACCAUGCCAGGAUCACAAGCCGACGAGAUUGACUGGGAGAAUUUAUCGAACAAGGAGCUUCAUGAUAAGUUUCAGCAAAUGAUGACUGAACAGGUGCAAGAUGUGCUGAACAAUUUUGAAGAGGCCAUGGAGAAGAUCACUGGCCUUGAGAAGACGUUCGAAACAAAGCUCGAUAACAAGUUGAAUGAAUUGCUCGCGCGUCUUCCACCACCACCACCCGCUGCACCUAACGCACCUCUCCAACAACAACAACAACGACUACCUCCACGUCGCGAAGCAGACCUCCGCCGAGCAAGCCGUGUUCCUCUUGCGUUUGGCCAAACUGUUGGUGCUGCUGUUGAUACUUCUGUGGCUCCUGCUGCUGAUGCGGAGGAGGAUGAUUAUGUGGGAGAUUAUGAGGAUGAGGUUGAUCAAAAUCAACACUACAUGCAGCCACCUGUACCACCACCAGCAGGUCGACCUCAGGUAUAUAUUCGUAAUGGUAGGCCUGCACCACCACCUCAGGUACGAGAUGAUGUCCAUAUUCCUAAACUGAAAUUGAAUAUUCCACCAUUUGAGGGUAGAUAUGUUCCUGAUAUAUAUCUUACUUGGGAGUUAGACACUGAACAACGAUUUACAUGUUUACAAUAUCCUGAGGAGAGACGAGUUGCUGCUGCUGUUUGUGCUUUCACUAGUUUUGCAUGUGUAUGGUGGUCUGAACAUUGUAGAUUAUAUCCUAUUCCAACUACUUGGGCUGCUUUGAAAACUGCUAUGCGUACGCGUUGGGUUCCACCAUAUUAUCAACGUGAAUUGCUUAGAAAAUUGCAGCGUUUAAGACAAGGGAAAAAUUCUGUAGAAGAAUAUUAUCAGGAAUUACAAACUGGCAUGAUUAGAUGUGGUAUUGUUGAGGAGAAUGAAGCUAUGCUUGCACGUUUUCUGGGUGGAUUAAAUAUAGAGAUUCAGACCAUUCUAGACUAUAAGGAGUAUACUAAUAUCACUCGUUUAUUCCAUCUUGCUUGUAAAGCUGAACGUGAAGUGCAGGAUCGACAAGCAUUGGGGCGAACUAACUUUUCUGCAGGCCGACCUUCAUCAUGGACACCACGUGCAUCUUCUACUUCAACUGCACCAGCACCUCCAUCCGGUGCCACCUCCAGCCGUGAUACAAGAAAACAGGCACAACCACCAUUAUCUGCCAAGAGCGCACCUGCGGGGCCUGCACAGCGUUCUUCUUCUUCCAUGGCAUCAACAGGGCACACAAGUGAUAUUAUUUGUCGUCGUUGUAAGGGAGGAGGUCAUUAUGCGAGAGAAUGCAAAUCUCCGCGUGUGAUGAUUGCUACCGUGGAUGGUGGAUAUGAGUCCGCUAGUGACUAUGAUGAGGAGACUUUGGCUCUUAUUACACGUGAAGAACAUGGUGGAGAUGAUUCUGAUCAUGAGACGCAAUACAUGGCUCCUGAAGACGCUGACAUGUAUGAAUGUUUAGUUGCUCAACGUGUUUUGAGUGUGCAGGUCACACAAGCUGAGCAAAAUCAGAGGCACAAUUUGUUCCAUACCAAGGGAGUUGUGAAGGAACGUUCUGUGCGCGUCAUCAUAGACGGAGGGAGCUGCAACAACUUGGCUAGCAUGGAGAUGGUGGAGAAGCUUUCUCUCACCACAAGACCACAUCCACAUCCUUACUACAUCCAAUGGUUCAACAACAGCGGCAAGGUUAAGGUAACACGUACUGUUCGUGUGCAUUUUAGUAUCUCUACAUAUGCUGAUUAUGUUGAUUGUGAUGUGGUACCUAUGCAAGCAUGUUCCUUAUUACUUGGUAGACAAUGGCAAUUUGAUAAAAAUUCUGUACACCAUGGCAGAAACAAUCACUAUACUCUUGUUCAUAAGGAUAAAAAUAUUACUUUGCUUCCUAUGACUCCUGAUUCCAUUUUGAAAGAUGAUAUUAAUAGAGCUAAUAAAGCAAAACAGGAGACGAAUAAGAGUGAAAAUCAGAUUGUGGCAAAAGAAUUUGAGCAACAAAUGAAGCCUAAUAAUAAACCAUCUAGUGUUGCUUCUGAAAUUAAAUUGAAAAGUGCAUGUUUAUUUGCCACCAAAUCUGAUAUUGAUGACCUAGAUUUCAGCAAAUCUGUUUGCUAUGCUUUUGUGUGCAAAGAGGCAUUAUUUUCAUUCGAGGACGUGCCUUCCUCUUUGCCUCCUGCUGUCACUAACAAUUUGCAGGAGUUCGCUGACGUCUUUCCACAAGACGUGCCACCGGGGUUACCGCCUAUUCGAGGGAUUGAGCAUCAGAUUGACUUAAUUCCCGGUGCUUCACUGCCAAACCGUGCACCAUACCGUACCAAUCCAGAGGAGACGAAGGAGAUUAUGCGUCAAGUACAAGAGCUUCUCGACAAAGAUUAUAUACGCGAAUCCCUUAGUCCUUGUGCUGUUCCUAUUAUUCUAGUGCCGAAAAAGGAUGGUACAUCACGUAUGUGUGUUGAUUGUAGAGGCAUUAAUAAUAUUACUAUUUGUUAUCGUCAUCCUAUUCCUAGGCUAGAUGAUAUGCUUGAUGAAUUGAGUGGCUGUACAAUAUUCUCCAAAGUUGAUUUGCGUAGUGGCUACCAUCAAAUUCGUAUGAAAUUGGGAGAUGAAUGGAAAACAGCAUUUAAAACUAAGUUUGGAUUAUAUGAGUGGUUAGUCAUGCCUUUUGGGUUAACUAAUGCACCUAGUACUUUCAUGAGAUUAAUGAACGAAGUUUUACGUGCUUUCAUUGGACGAUUUGUGGUAGUUUACUUUGAUGACAUAUUGAUUUAUAGCAGAUCUUUGGAAGAACAUUUGGAACAUUUACGUGCUGUUUUUAUUGCUCUACGUGAUGCACGUUUGUUUGGUAACCUUGGGAAGUGCACCUUUUGCACCGACCGAGUAUCUUUUCUUGGCUAUGUUGUUACUCCACAGGGAAUUGAAGUUGAUAAAGCCAAGAUUGAAGCUAUUGAGAGUUGGUCGCAACCCAAAACGGUCACACAAGUGAGGAGUUUUCUUGGCCUCGCUGGAUUCUAUAGGCGUUUUGUGAGAGAUUUCAGCACCAUUGCUGCACCUCUCAAUGAGCUUACAAAGAAAGAUGUGCCUUUUCUUUGGGGUACCGCACAGGAAGAAGCCUUCACGGUAUUGAAAGAUAAGUUGACACAUGCUCCUUUACUCCAACUUCCUGAUUUUAAUAUGACUUUUGAGCUUGAAUGUGAUGCUAGUGGAAUUGGAUUAGGCGGUGUGUUAUUACAAGAUGGCAAACCUGUUGCAUACUUGAUGAGGACAUGACUACCUUGGAUAUGACCAAAAAUAUUGCAUAUAUGCAUAUUUGUCAGGUGAUUUCUAGUGCAAACUAUUCAAUAAUCUAUUUAUGUUAUCCAGAACAAAAAUACUUCACACACUUUUGUGUUUCGUCUAAUUGCAGGUGUAUGGGACAUUUGUACAAUCCACAUAUGAAGAUAAGGAAGAAAGAGAUGUUUAUUUGCUGUCCAAAAAGUUCUCUCACGUCACUUUUGGCCCAAGAGAAGAUAGAGUCCAAGUCUCUCACGUUCUGGAUUCAGAUUCGGACUGCACAGACACACCUGACUCAAAACGCACACAAGUUUUUCGUACGGACUCCGAAUUGGGUGAUUCUUUUUUUGUUGGAAACUAGAUUUCGUGCACUUUCCAACCCAAUUGGAAUCACCUUCAAAUUCGUCCGGAGCGUUGAGUUGUGGACGAAACAAUCUGAUGCUGCAGCAGAAUCCGAGUCAAACUACAAGUCCAAAGGUGUUACAUCACCUCCACUUGGGCCCAUUGGCCUUGUACGACCUAGAUUUAGUUUUAGGCUGCCUUGGGACGUCCUCCCACCUCCUUGGCCGCCACCCCUUGGUCCUAUAUAAGUAGAUCCAUCUAGUAGCUUUUCCUUGGGAUUUGUUUAGUUAAAAGUUAGCCAUUGCAACUUCGUGUACUUCGUUUGUGUCCAACGACCAGACCAAGACCGCUUACGGAUCCCCACCUUUAUCAAUACUUCAUAUAUACUCGCAAUAUUCAGAUUGCAUUUAUCAUAUUCUUGCUUGUUCUUCGAUUGCUUGCAGGAAUAGACCUUCGUGGUCAGGUUGAUUGUGCUCCAGCAUGGUCAAUAACCUCUCGGAGUUGGUUUAGCGAUUGCUAAGGCGCAACGUCGUGCACGUUUGUAGUCGGAUCGUCAAAGUCAUCUUCACCAAAUCGAUAGUUAUCAUCUCAUCGAAAAAUCGGGACACCCCGCCUCUAUCAAAGACGUGCCACCGGGAUUACCGCCUAUUCGAGGGAUUGAGCAUCAGAUUGACUUAAUUCCCGGUGCUUCACUGCCAAACCGUGCACCAUACCGUACCAAUCCAGAGGAGACGAAGGAGAUUAUGCGUCAAGUACAAGAGCUUCUCGACAAAGGUUAUAUACGCGAAUCCCUUAGUCCUUGUGCUGUUCCUAUUAUUCUAGUGCCGAAAAAGGAUGGUACAUCACGUAUGUGUGUUGAUUGUAGAGGCAUUAAUAAUAUUACUAUUCGUUAUCGUCAUCCUAUUCCUAGGCUAGAUGAUAUGCUUGAUGAAUUGAGUGGCUCUACAAUAUUCUCCAAAGUUGAUUUGCGUAGUGGCUACCAUCAAAUUCGUAUGAAAUUGGGAGAUGAAUGGAAAACAGCAUUUAAAACUAAGUUUGGAUUAUAUGAGUGUUUAGUCAUGCCUUUUGGGUUAACUAAUGCACCUAGUACUUUCAUGAGAUUAAUGAACGAAGUUUUACGUGCUUUCAUUGGACGAUUUGUGGUAGUUUACUUUGAUGACAUAUUGAUUUAUAGCAGAUCUUUGGAAGAACAUUUGGAACAUUUACGUGCUGUUUUUAUUGCUCUACGUGAUGCACGUUUGUUUGGUAACCUUGGGAAGUGCACCUUUUGCACCGACCGAGUAUCUUUUCUUGGCUAUGUUGUUACUCCACAGGAAAUUGAAGUUGAUAAAGCCAAGAUUGAAGCUAUUGAGAGUUGGCCGCAGCCCAAAACGGUCACACAAGUGAGGAGUUUUCUUGGCCUCGCUGGAUUCUAUAGGCGUUUUGUGAGAGAUUUCAGCACCAUUGCUGCACCUCUCAAUGAGCUUACAAAGAAAGAUGUGCCUUUUCUUUGGGGUACCGCACAGGAAGAAGCCUUCACGGUAUUGAAAGAUAAGUUGACACAUGCUCCUUUACUCCAACUUCCUGAUUUUAAUAAGACUUUUGAGCUUGAAUGUGAUGCUAGUGGAAUUGGAUUAGGAGGUGUGUUAUUACAAGAUGGCAAACCUGUUGAAUACUUUUCUGAAAAAUUGAGUGGGCCUAGUCUGAAUUAUUCUACUUAUGAUAAAGAAUUAUAUGCUCUUGUUCGGACUUUAGAAACAUGGCAACAUUAUUUAUGGCCCAAAGAAUUUGUUAUACAUUCUGAUCAUGAAUCUUUGAAACAUAUUAAAAGUCAAGCUAAACUGAAUCGUAGACAUGCUAAAUGGGUUGAAUUCAUUGAGACUUUCCCUUAUGUCAUUAAACACAAGAAGGGAAAAGAAAAUGUUAUUGCUGAUGCAUUGUCUCGUCGCUAUACUAUGCUUUCACAACUUGACUUCAAAAUAUUUGGAUUAGAGACCAUCAAAGAUCAAUAUGUGCAUGAUGCUGAUUUUAAAGAUGUAAUGCAUAAUUGUAAAGAAGGAAGAAUGUGGAACAAGUUUGUUGUUAACGAUGGAUUUGUGUUUCGUGCUAACAAGCUAUGCAUUCCAGCGAGCUCCGUUCGUCUUUUGUUGUUGCAGGAGGCGCAUGGAGGAGGAUUAAUGGGACACUUUAGCGUGAAGAAGACGGAGGACGUACUUGCUACACAUUUCUUUUGGCCAAAGAUGAGACGGGAUGUUGAGCGUUUUAUUGCUCGCUGCACUACAUGUCAAAAAGCUAAGUCACGACUCAAUCCUCAUGGUUUAUAUAUGCCUUUGCCUGUACCUAGUGUUCCUUGGGAGGAUAUAUCUAUGGACUUUGUUUUAGGUUUACCUCGAACAAAGAAGGGGAGGGAUAGCAUAUUUGUUGUCGUGGAUAGAUUCUCGAAAAUGGCACACUUUAUACCAUGUCAUAAAAGCGAUGAUGCUGUUAAUGUUGCUGAUUUGUUCUUUCGUGAAAUUAUUCGUUUGCAUGGUGUGCCAAAUACUAUUGUUUCAAAUCGUGAUACUAAAUUUCUUAGCCACUUUUGGAGAUGUUUAUGGGCUAAGUUGGGGACUAAACUGCUUUUUAGUACUACUUGUCACCCCCAAACUGAUGGACAAACUGAAGUAGUCAAUAGAACGUUGUCUACUAUGCUUAGGGCUGUUUUGAAGAAUAAUAAGAAAAUGUGGGAGGAAUGCUUGCCUCAUAUUGAAUUUGCUUAUAAUCGUUCAUUGCAUUCUACUACUAAGAUGUGCCCAUUUGAAGUUGUGUAUGGUUUCCUACCUCGUGCACCUCUUGAUUUGUUGCCUCUUCCAUCUUCGGAGAAGGUUAAUUUUGAUGCUAAACAACGUGCUGAAUUGAUUUUAAAAAUGCAUGAGUUAACUAAGGAAAACAUUGAGCGCAUGAAUGCUAAAUAUAAACUUGCUGGAGAUAAGGGUAGAAAACAUGUUGUGUUUGCACCUGGAGAUCUUGUUUGGUUACAUUUGCGUAAGGAUAGAUUUCCUGAUUUGCGCAAAUCAAAGUUAAUGCCACGUGCUGAUGGUCCCUUUAAGGUGUUAGAGAAAAUAAAUGAUAAUGCAUAUAAACUUGAGCUGCCUGCAGAUUUUGGGGUUAGUCCCACUUUUAACAUUGCAGAUUUGAAGCCUUAUUUGGGUGAGGAAGAUAAACUUCCGUCGAGGACGACUUCAUUUCAAGAAGGGGAGGAUGAUGAGGACAUCAAUACAAUUGUUACACCCACAGCCCCUGCCGCUAUACAUACUGGACCAAUUACUAGAGCUCGUGCACGCCAACUAAAUUACCAGGUACUUUCGUUUCUUGGUAAUGAUUCUAAUGUUCAUGAGAAUAUGAUGCUGCCUAAAUUGGAUACAUUUGUUUUGCUUACAAAUGAAGGGCCUAGCUUGGAGAAGGAUGAACAUUGGAGCAAGAACAAGCAUGGAGAUGAUGGCAUGCGCAAGGGGAACAAGAACGGAGUUACAAGUGAUGAUUUCAGGACUUUGAAGCCACCAUAAUGGGUGCAUGAAGCCUUGGACGAAAUAUACAAGAUGCCACUUCAUAAAUUUCGUCCCGAGGCUAUUUUAGGUGCUGCGUCACCUUAUUAUUGGGCCAGGCCCAUGUAAUUUCGAAAUACAUAAGUAUAGGCUAUUUUUAGAGUCCGUAUGUGUGGGGAAACAAGAGAUAGGGUUGAUUUCGGACCCCUCCACCAAGGGCCACGAAAUUCCCCCCUCUUCCUCCAUAUAUACAGCCCUUAGGGCAUCGUUUAGACUUUGGGUUUUGUUUAGAUUAAAAGUUCGCCAUAGCUGCAACUUCGUGUACUUUGUUUGUGUUCAACGACCAGACAAAGGCGUCACAGAACCCCACCUUGAUCAGUAAAGCUUUCAUCUUAUAUUCGCAAUAUCCAGAUUGCAAUCUUAGUUUCUUGCUUGUUCUUCGUUUGCUCGCAGGAAACAGACCCUCGUGGUCAGGUUGAUCGUGCUUCGGCGUGGUCAAUAACCUCUCGGAGUUGGUUUAGCGAUUGCUAAGGCGCGACGUCCUCGCACGUUCGUAGUCGGAUCGUCAAAGUCGACUUCCACCAAAGCGAUAUCCAUCAUCUCAUCGAAAGACGGGACACCUUUGCCUCUAUCACCAAGAUUAGAGGUCAUAUCAAAAUGAUUAAACAUUGGUUCUUUUGCAUCAAUAGUUAAUUCAAUGGGUGCACUCAAAAUUGUUGGUAUUUCAGUUGUUUGAUCACAUGGCAAAGUCAAAUUAUCAACGUAGUCCUCUAAAAUAGGUGGUGUGAUCAAAGUAGUGGGUAGCUCAUCAGAUGGUGCAUUCAAAUUGAUAAGGCAUUCAUCAUUCUCAUGUAGAGAUGGAAGAUCAGUACCUGUGUCUGAUAGAGGCAAAGGUGUCCCGUCUUUCGAUGAGAUGGUGGAUUUCGCUUUGGUGGAAGUCGACUUUGACGAUCCGACUACGAACGUGCGAGGACGUCGCGCCUUAGCAAUCGCUAAACCAACUCCGAGAGGUUAUUGACCACGCCGGAGCACGAUCAACCUGACCACGAGGGUCUGUUUCCUGCGAGCAAACGAAGAACAAGCAAGAAACUAAGAUUGCAAUCUGGAUAUUGCGAAUAUAAGAUGAAAGCUUUAUUGAUCAAGGUGGGGUUCUGUGACGCCUUUGUCUGGUCGUUGAACACAAACGAAGUACGCGAAGUUGCAGCUAUGGCGAACUUUUAAUCUAAACAAAACCCAAAGUCUAAACGAUGCCCUAAGGGCUGUAUAUAUGGAGGAAGAGGGGGGAAUUUCGUGGCCCUUGGUGGAGGGGUCCGAAAUCAACCCUAUCUCUUGUUUCCCCACACAUACGGACUAUAAAAAUAGCCUAUACUUAUGUAUUUCGAAAUUACAUGGGCCUGGCCCAAUAAUAAGGUGACGCAGCACCUAAAAUAGCCUCGGGACGAAAUUUAUGAAGUGGCAUCUUGUAUAUUUCGUCCAAGGCUUCAUGCACCCAUUAUGGUGGCUUCAAAGUCCUGAAAUCAUCACUUGUAACUCCGUUCUUGUUCCCCUUGCGCAUGCCAUCAUCUCCAUGCUUGUUCUUGCUCCAAUGUUCAUCCUUCUCCAAGCUAGGCCCUUCAUUUGUAAGCAAAACAAAUGUAUCCAAUUUAGGCAGCAUCAUAUUCUCAUGAACAUUAGAAUCAUUACCAAGAAACGAAAGUACCUGGUAAUUUAGUUGGCGUGCACGAGCUCUAGUAAUUGGUCCAGUAUGUAUAGCGGCAGGGGCUGUGGGUGUAACAAUUGUAUUGAUGUCCUCAUCAUCCUCCCCUUCUUGAAAUGAAGUCGUCCUCGACGGAAGUUUAUCUUCCUCACCCAAAUAAGGCUUCAAAUCUGCAAUGUUAAAAGUGGGACUAACCCCAAAAUCUGCAGGCAGCUCAAGUUUAUAUGCAUUAUCAUUUAUUUUCUCUAACACCUUAAAGGGACCAUCAGCACGUGGCAUUAACUUUGAUUUGCGCAAAUCAGGAAAUCUAUCCUUACGCAAAUGUAACCAAACAAGAUCUCCAGGUGCAAACACAACAUGUUUUCUACCCUUAUCUCCAGCAAGUUUAUAUUUAGCAUUCAUGCGCUCAAUGUUUUCCUUAGUUAACUCAUGCAUUUUUAAAAUCAAUUCAGCACGUUGUUUAGAAUCAAAAUUAACCUUCUCCGAAGAUGGAAGAGGCAACAAAUCAAUAGGUGCACGAGGUAGGAAACCAUACACAACUUCAAAAGGGCACAUCUUAGUAGUAGAAUGCAAUGAACGAUUAUAAGCAAAUUCAAUAUGAGGCAAGCAUUCCUCCCACAUUUUCUUAUUAUUCUUCAAAACAGCCCUAAGCAUAGUAGACAACGUUCUAUUGACUACUUCAGUUUGUCCAUCAGUUUGGGGGUGACAAGUUGAUGAGGACAUGACUACCUUGGAUAUAACCAAAAAUAUUGCAUAUAUGCAUAUUUGUCAGGUGAUUUCUAGUGCAAACUAUUCAAUAAUCUAUUUAUGUUAUCCAGAACAAAAAUACUUCACACACUUUUGUGUUUUGUCUAAUUGCAGGUGUAUGGGACAUUUGUACAAUCCACAUAUGAAGAUAAGGAAGAAAGAGAUGUUUAUUUUCUGUCCAAAAAGUUCUCUCACGUCACUUUUGGCCCAAGAGAAGAUAGAGUCCAAGUCUCUCACGUUCUGGAUUCAGAUUCGGACUGCACAGACACACCUGACUCAAAACGCACACAAGUUUUUCAUACGGACUCCGAAUUGGGUGAUUCUUUUUUUGUUGGAAACUAGAUUUCGUGCACUUUCCAACCCAAUUGGAAUCACCUUCAAAUUCGUCCGGAGCGUUGAGUUAUGGACGAAACAAUCUGAUGCUGCAGCAGAAUCCGAGUCAAACUACAAGUCCAAAGGUGUUACAUCACCUCCACUUGGGCCCAUUGGCCUUGUACGACCUAGAUUUAGUUUUAGGCUGCCUUGGGACGUCCUCCCACCUCCUUGGCCGCCACCCCUUGCUCCUAUAUAAGUAGAUCCAUCUAGUAGCUUUUCCUUGGGUUUUGUUUAGAUUAAAAGUUCGCCAUAGCUGCAACUUCGCGUACUUCGUUUGUGUUCAACGACCAGACAAAGGCGUCACAGAACCCCACCUUGAUCAAUAAAGCUUUCAUCUUAUAUUCGCAAUAUCCAGAUUGCAAUCUUAGUUUCUUGCUUGUUCUUCGUUUGCUCGCAGGAAACAGACCCUCGUGGUCAGGUUGAUCGUGCUCCAGCGUGGUCAAUAACCUCUCGGAGUUGGUUUAGCGAUAGCUAAGGCGCGACGUCCUCGCACGUUCGUAGUCGGAUCGUCAAAGUCGACUUCCACCAAAGCGAAAUCCACCAUCUCAUCGAAAGACGGGACACCUUUGCCUCUAUCAAGAUGCCACUUCAUAAAUUUCGUCCCGAGGCUAUUUUAGGUGCUGCGUCACCUUAUUAUUGGGCCAGGCCCAUGUAAUUUCGAAAUACAUAAGUAUAGGCUAUUUUUAGAGUCCGUAUGUGUGGGGAAACAAGAGAUAGGGUUGAUUUCGGACCCCUCCACCAAGGGCCACGAAAUUCCCCCCCCCUCUUCCUCCAUAUAUACAGCCCUUAGGGCAUCGUUUAGACUUUGGGUUUUGUUUAGAUUAAAAGUUCGCCAUAGCUGCAACUUCGCGUACUUCGUUUGUGUUCAACGACCAGACAAAGGCGUCACAGAACCCCACCUUGAUCAAUAAAGCUUUCAUCUUAUAUUCGCAAUAUCCAGAUUGCAAUCUUAGUUUCUUGCUUGUUCUUCGUUUGCUCGCAGGAAACAGACCCUCGUGGUCAGGUUGAUCGUGCUCCGGCGUGGUCAAUAACCUCUCGGAGUUGGUUUAGCGAUUGCUAAGGCGCGACGUCCUCGCACGUUCGUAGUCGGAUCGUCAAAGUCGACUUCCACCAAAGCGAAAUCCACCAUCUCAUCGAAAGACGGGACACCUUUGCCUCUAUCACUUUCCUUGCGAAGUGUUUGCAAAACAACCCUAACAUGAUCAAGAUGCUCUUUCAUGGUUUUGCUAAACACAAGAAUAUCAUCGAAGUAAACCACAACAAAGACUCCAAUAUAAGGGCGAAGUACAUGAUGCAUGAGGCGCACGAAAGUACCGGGAGCCUCCGAUAAAUCCAUAGGCAUGACUAACCACUCAUAUAAGCCAAAUUUUGUUUUGAAAGCAGUUUUCCAUUCAUCACCUUCUUGUAUGCGGAUUUGAUAAUAGCCACUUUUAAGGUCAAUUUUAGAGAAAAAGUUGGCUCCACUAAGUUCAUCAAGCAUAUUAUCUAAGCGAGGAAUGGGAUGCCUAUAGCGAAUGGUGAUAGCAUUUAUAGGUCUACAAUCGGAACACAAGCAGAAACUUCCAUCGGGCUUAGGCACAAGUAUAACGGGAACGGCACAAGGUCUUAAGCUUUCAUGUACAUGACCAUUAUCGAUUAGUUGUUGUACUUGCCGUUGAAUCUCCUUGGUUUCUUCGGGAUUGACACGGUAUGGAGCUUUGUUUGGAAGUGGCGCUCCGGGAAUGAGGUCGAUUCGAUGCUCAAUGCCUCGUAGAGGAGGUAGACCCUGAGGUAGCUCAUUGGGGAAAACAUCUUGAAAUUCCUGCAAAAGAGAUUGAAACACCAAAGGUAGCUCGUGAGUGGUGUUAGUUUUUGGUUCUCCAUCCUUGCACACAAGGACAAAGUGCAUCACACUCGAUGGAUUCUCACACACUUCUCUCAUCUCACUUUUUGUGGCGAAUAGUAUGAGGUUUUUCUCUCUAGGCAAAGAGGCGCUCAAGUUUGGCUUGUUGCUCUCACUCAUGUUUUGGUGGCUCACUUUCUCACUCUUCUCUUUUAUGGUGGGUGGCUUGCUUGUCGGCUAUCACUUUACUAGGAGACAUGGGUCGUAGCACAUAUUCCUUCCCUUUCAUCUUGAAGCUAUAGUGAUUGGUACGCCCAUUGUGGACGACGCCACGGUCGAAUUGCCAUGGUCGACCAAGAAGGAGGUGGCAAACGGUCAUUGGGACCACAUCACACUCCAAAGUGUCCUCAUAUGCACCAAUUUUGAAGGAUACAUAGACCGUAUGCUCAACUCGUAUAGUGCCGGAGUCACUUAGCCAUUGAACCUUGUAGGGAUGCGGGUGCUUCCUCUUGACCAAUUGAAGCUUGGAGCAUAGUUCUUCACUUGCCAAGUUGUGGCAACUACCUCCAUCGAUGAUGACCUUGAUGGACCUUCCAUUGAUGCCGGCCUUGGUGUGGAAGAUAUGGCAUCGUUGGUCUUCUUCUUGUUGAUGUUGAAGUGUCAAGACCUUGGAGACAACGAGAGCAUGGCUCGUAUCUUCAUCACAAAAGACUUGAUCAUCUUCAUCCUCGUUUACGUGCCGGUGCAUGGCCACUUGCUCAAUAGCUUCCAGUUCAUCUUCACUCAUUGAGUCGUAGGUGCCAUCAUCGUUGAGGAUCAUGGUGCGCUUGUUGGUGCAUUGGAAGGACUUGCGGCCUCGGCCGCCACAUGUGAAGCACUUGAUUGAACUUGUCUUGACAGUCUCAUCGGUCGAAGUAGAGGAAGAAGUACGUGGCUUGUAGUUGCUUGUAGUAGGAGGAAGACGACUUGAACUUGACGAAGGUUUCUUGUAUGUUGUCUUGUCAUCGUUGCUUGGAGAAGGCUUGGUUGAAGUAGAUGUUGGAGGAGUUGUUGAAGCUUGAUUGUUGGAGAAGCCGUAUGUCUUGGAUGAGUACUUGGCGUACUUUAAGUCAUCUUGCACUUCACGUUCCGCCUUGGUCGCUUGAUGCACUAGCUCGAUGAGGUUGGAGUAGGGUUGGAAGUCGGCGAUCUUCUUGAUGGGAUGAUUGAGUCCAUUCAAGAAUCGUGCCGUUGUUUGCUCAUCAUCUUCCUUGACAUUGGCUCGAAUCAUGGCUAUCUCCAUUUCCUUGCAGUAUUCUUCAACACUCUUUGUUCCUUGCUUGAGGAGUUGUAGCUUCCUGAAGAGAUCACGGUUGUAGUAGGUGGGCACAAAUCGUGCUCGCAUGACAUCCUUCAUUUGAGCCCAACUGGUGAUUGGAGGGUCACCUCUUGCUUCUAGGUGCUCAAGGACUUGUUCCCACCAUAUGAGCACAUAGUCUUGGAACUCAAAUGAUGCCAUUGCGAUCUUCUUCUCUUCCUCAUAGUUGUGCAAACGAAAGAUUUUGUCGACCUUCAAUGCCCAUGAGAGGUAUUCUUCCGGAUCAUUGCUUCCAUUGAACUUGGGCAUUGUGAAUUUGAGCUUUCCAUAGCGUUGCUCUUCAUCUUGAUAGCGGUUGCGAUGUCGCUCUUGCCUUGGAAAGUCCUUGAAUGCUCGCUCCUCAUGAUGUCGCUCUUGGCGUGGAGGAGGGUCUUGAAGCACUUGUUCCACUUGGUGUCGCUCUUGGCAUGGAGGAAGUCCAUGAUCAACUUGCUCUUGUUGAACUUGAGGUUGAGGUGGAGCUUGACGAGCUUGAGAAACUUGACGGUGCACACGUGGUUGAUAGUUCCUCUCUUGUAUUUCUUCUCGAAGUGCUUACUCUUGAUUGCGCCGUUCGCGAUUGCGGUUGGCGAUGGCUCGACUUGAUUCUUUAAGGGUACGUUCCGCCUCAAGAGCUUGUGCUUCUCGUUGUUGUUGUUGAAGACGUUGAGCCUCAGCGUCUUGUUCCUCUUGGUGUAGACGCGCUCGUUCUUCCUCUUGGUGUAGGCGCGCUCGUUCUUCCUCUUGGCUCCGUAGUCGUUGUCGUUCGUGAGCUUGAGCAAAAGCAACUUGGUUUGAUUGAGGACGAGGGACUUGCUCAUCGACUUGCUCUUGUGAAUGCUUGACGUGUAGCGGGUCUCGAGAUGCAUGACGGUCUUGACGCGCGGCUCGUCGAAGAAUGGUCGAUGACGGUGUACUUGAGCCGGAGAAGGUGUCGUCGGAGUGUCGAGUUGAGUGGCUCCGUCUUGAGUAGGAAGAAGUUGAAUUAGGCCGGUUGACCAACAAAGCGCGGAUCUCGUCCCUUCUUGCAUCAUUCUCUUGCUUGUGCGCGUCGAGCUUGUUGUCGAAGUAGUCUCGUGUACGUUUCCUUUUCUGAAGUUACCUUUUCCGAAGAUUGUGGAUGUAACAAGUACGAUCCCACGUGAUGUUACAAUAGGGGAAUUGGUACCGGGAAUUGUUUCUCACACCUACAAGUAAAUGGUCUAUGGACGAGCUUGGUUAGGAAAGGCACAAAUAAUUCAAGCAAAUGUUAGUCAAGAUGAUGAGGACAUGACUACCUUGGAUAUGACCAAAAAUAUUGCAUAUAUGCAUAUUUGUCAGGUGAUUUCUAGUGCAAACUAUUCAAUAAUCUAUUUAUGUUAUCCAGAACAAAAAUACUUCACACACUUUUUUGUUUUGUCUAAUUGCAGGUGUAUGGGACAUUUGUACAAUCCACAUAUGAAGAUAAGGAAGAAAGAGAUGUUUAUUUGCUGUCCAAAAAGUUCUCUCACAUCACUUUUGGCCCAAGAGAAGAUAGAGUCCAAGUCUCUCACGUUCUGGAUUCAGAUUCGGACUGCACAGACACACCUGACUCAAAACGCACACAAGUUUUUCAUACGGACUCCGAAUUGGGUGAUUUUUUUUGUUGGAAACUAGAUUUCGUGCACUUUCCAACCCAAUUGGAAUCACCUUCAAAUUCGUCCGGAGCGUUGAGUUGUGGACGAAACAAUCUGAUGCUGCAGCAGAAUCCGAGUCAAACUACAAGUCCAAAGGUGUUACAUCACCUCCACUUGGGCCCAUUGGCCUUGUACGACCUAGAUUUAGUUUUAGGCUGCCUUGAGACGUCCUCCCACCUCCUUGGCCGCCACCCCUUGCUCCUAUAUAAGUAGAUCCAUCUAGUAGCUUUUCCUGGGGAUUUGUUUAGUUAAAAGUUAGCCAUUGCAACUUCGUGUACUUCGUUUGUGUCCAACGACCAGACCAAGACCGCUUCCGGAUCCCCACCAUUAUCAAUACUUCAUAUAUAUUUGCAAUAUUCAGAUUGCUUUAUCAUAUUCUUGCUCGUUCUUCGAUUGCUUGCAGGAACAGACCUUCGUGGUCAGGCUGACCGUGCUUCCAGCAUCGUCAGUAACCUUAGGAGAUUGGUUUAGCGAUUGCUAAGGCGCAACGUCGUGCACGUUUGUAGUCGGAUUGUCAAAGUCGUCUCCACCAAAUCGAUAGUUAUCAUCUGAUCGAAAGAUCAGGACCCUCGCCUCUAUCAAGUGGUAUCAGUUUUCAGGUUGCUCGGUGAGAAUUUCCAGUUUUUCCUAGAUUAGAUUUAUUUUCUUACCUAUUGUCCAAGAAAAAGCCACAAAACAAAAGUUAGAUCUAUUCAUCCUUUGUCCUAGCCAGACUGAGCCUUUGCAAUUUUCUUUUCAUUGUUUGCAUUAUUGAAUUAUCGGUUGCAUCGCCGUGUCGAGUUGCUGGUCUUAGUGUCUAGUUCCUUUAGAGUUUCGAGUUCUGUUCACAUUAGUCACGCAGCCGCUGCAUCAUUAUCCCAUCCGCUGUCCACCAUCCCAUCCACCAAUUUCCACCACGUGCUACGCACUGUUUAUUGUCAUAAUCAUAGUUGAGGUCACUCACAUCUUCGCCUGAUCGAAUCUGCAUCUUAUCUAGUUUGUCUUGGAAAGAGGGAGAAAAAGAAUAUAAAGAAAAAAAAGAGAGAAAAAAGGAAAGAAAAAAAAGAAAUAGAGGGAGAAGAAAAAGAAAAAAAAAGCGUGAGAAAAAAAGAGAGAAGAAAAAAAAUUGGAUCUAUCUAGAAUCAAUCUCGUACCUGAAUUCGGAUUGGAAUCUGUUUUGCGCACUGUUCAGUAAAACAGGUGUAUCUUCCUCAUACGAAGUCCGUUUUGGCUCCGUGAGUACUCAAAUUGAAGAUAGCGACGAGCCGCAUCUAAAUAGUUGCAGAAGCUAGUUCAAUAUUUUACACCUCAAAAUCGGCUUCUAAAUAGGUCUUUUUGCCCUCCGAAGUUCGUGAACACAGCUUGUUCCAAAUUUUUAGGCCAGUUUUAGAAUUCUUUGACUCCUCAUAUCAACUCGGAAUUGAGUGAUUCUUUUUGCAUUGGAAAGCUUGAGUUAGUAGCAUUCUUUGAAAGAAUUUAUCAGAAAAUUGUCUCAAACUUUUCAAGAGGAAAGUUGGAGAGAGAGUUGUUGUAUAUCCUGCUUGGCAGUUGUUUUUCAUCAUUAUCUUCACUGCCGUUGUGAUCUUCACUUAUAUCUUGCUAUCAAGAGCUACUUAGUAUCCUUCAUUGAUGCUAGUUGUGCUACGCCGUGACCUUAUUAGUGUCCUAGGCUCGCGUCUCUAGUUCGGUCUAGCCUAGGACCAGCACAGUACCGUCGUUGAGCGUUUAUUCAACAUUGCAUCUUUGAAUUGAUUAUUGCUAAUCUUUUGCUACCAUAUAUAGCCAACCCAGCUCCAUAUAUUUCUACACCAUGUAUACGUACGCUCCCCUGGCAAUCGCUUUACUCAAUAUUCGGAGUUACUUGACACCGCUGGUUGCCGAUCACCGCCUGCUGCAUGGUAAGAACUUGUAAGACAUUGAUAUUUGCUUUACUGUGAGCGUUUUACCACCACAUCCUAGUAGUUAUAGGAACAUUAUUUUUGGGUUUUGUUUCUUGUUCUACCAAUCAUGACAGGAUCCAGAGUCAAUUCAUGGGCUUUGUUGAUCGCCGGAGACGUGCCACCACCUUUGCAAAUACCACAACCGUCACGAGAGGUGCACAAACAUCCAAAUGCACAUGAUCAGGUUAAUGUAUCUAUACCACCAUUUAAUGGCCGUUUUAAACCUGCUUUAUAUAUUGAAUGGGAGUUCGACAUAAAAAAUAUAUUUGCUUCCCAUAAUUUCGAUGAACAUAAAAAGGUUAAGGUUGCGGUUGGUUCUUUCACUGGUUAUGCUUUGGUUUGGUGGAGUCAAUAUUGUCGGUUACACCCUGAUUAUAUACCUACUACUUGGGAUGAUUUGAAACUUGCCAUGCGACAUACUUUCGUCCCUGCUUAUUAUACUCGUGACAUGAUUAAGAAGUUGCAACACUUAAAACAAGGUAGUGAAACUGUAACAAAAUAUUAUGAUGAUUUACAAACUACCUUGUUGCAUUCCUCUUUAGAAGAAAGUGAAGAUGAUUUUAUGGAUAGAUUUUGGGGAGGAUUAAACCGUGAUAUUCAAGAGAUACUAAUUCAUGAAGAGUGUUAUCCUAUGGACCAUUUGUUUCAUCUUGCUUGCAAAGCUGAACAGGAAAUAAAACGACGUGUUGGCCACGAGGAGAACAAGCGCACGGUGCACAUUCCAAGAGUUGAUAUGAUUGUUCCUUCAACUACUAGGCAUACUAUGACAACCACAUCCGUUGUUGUCAGGACUACAUCACCUCCACCGUGUGACACAUCGCCCCCGAGAGUGGCUACAUCAUCUGAGUUGAUCAUAAGAGGUAAUGACAAAGGUACUGAUCUUCCAUCUCUACAUGAGAAUGAUGAAUGCCUUGUCAAUUUGAAUGCACCAUCUGAUGAGCUACCCACUACUUUGAUCACACCACCUAUUUUAGAGGACUAUGUUGAUAAUUUGACUUUGCCAUGUGAUCAAACAACUGAAAUACCAACAAUUUUGAGUGCACCCAUUGAAUUAACUAUUGAUGCAAAAGAACCAAUGUUUAAUCAUUUUGAUAUGACCUCUAAUCUUGGUGAUGAUUCUGUGUUGAAUGACUUAUUGCAUGUUUGCUUAUUUAAGCAUGUUGUAGCAUGUAAAUUUGAUGCAAGUAAGGUUUAUUCACCAAUGUUGGGAUGGUUUAAUGAUGAACAUUGUCAAUCUUUUGAAAUGAAUAAGAGCUUCACUUAUAUGUGCAAACUGAGUUGCAAUAUUUUCAUGCCUUCUACUUCCUGUGCUAAUUUUUUGGCUUUAGAUUUUAUGAACUAUGCAAGUUACUCAUCUAUUCAUGUGUCAUAUAUGCAAAAAUCAAGGGAAGUAAAAAUGGAUGACAUAUAUAUAUACAACAUGUACACCUUGUCUCUUUUGUUAGCCACAUUUCAGAUUAAGCAACGCCGAGGACGGCUUUAUUUUCAAGAAGGGGAGGAUGAUGAGGACAUGACUACCUUGGAUAUGACCAAAAAUAUUGCAUAUAUGCAUAUUUGUCAGGUGAUUUCUAGUGCAAACUAUUCAAUAAUCUAUUUAUGUUAUCCAGAACAAAAAUACUUCACACACUUUUGUGUUUUGUCUAAUUGCAGGUGUAUGGGACAUUUGUACAAUCUACAUAUGAAGAUAAGGAAGAAAGAGAUGUUUAUUUGCUGUCCAAAAAGUUCUCUCACGUCACUUUUGGCCCAAGAGAAGAUAGAGUCCAAGUCUCUCACGUUCUGGAUUCAGAUUCGGACUGCACAGACAUACCUGACUCAAAACGCACACAAGUUUUUCAUACGGACUCCGAAUUGGGUGAUUCUUUUUUUGUUGGAAACUAGAUUUCGUGCACUUUCCAACCCAAUUGGAAUCACCUUCAAAUUCGUCCGGAGCGUUGAGUUGUGGACGAAACAAUCUGAUGCUGCAGUAGAAUCCGAGUCAAACUACAAGUCCAAAGGUGUUACAUCACCUCCACUUGGGCCCAUUGGCCUUGUACGACCUAGAUUUAGUUUUAGGCUGCCUUGGGACGUCCUCCCACCUCCUUGGCCGCCACCCCUUGCUCCUAUAUAAGUAGAUCCAUCUAGUAGCUUUUCCUUGGGAUUUGUUUAGUUAAAAGUUAGCCAUUGCAACUUCGUGUACUUUGUUUGUGUUCAACGACCAGACAAAGGCGUCACAGAACCCCACCUUGAUCAAUAAAGCUUUCAUCUUAUAUUCGCAAUAUCCAGAUUGCAAUCUUAGUUUCUUGCUUGUUCUUCGUUUGCUCGCAGGAAACAGACCCUCGUGGUCAGGUUGAUCGUGCUCCGGCGUGGUCAAUAACCUCUCGGAGUUGGUUUAGCGAUUGCUAAGGCGCGACGUCCUCGCACGUUCGUAGUCGGAUCGUCAAAGUCGACUUCCACCAAAGCGAAAUCCACCAUCUCAUCGAAAGACGGGACACCUUUGCCUCUAUCACCCAGCUCCACAUAUUUCUACACCGUGUAUACGUACGCUCCCCUGGCAAUCGCUUUACUCAAUAUUCGGAGUUACUUGACACCGCUGGUUGCCGAUCACCGCCUGCUGCAUGGUAAGAACUUGUAAGACAUUGAUAUUUGCUUUACUGUGAGCGUUUUACCACCACAUCCUAGUAGUUAUAGGAACAUUAUUUUUGGGUUUUGUUUCUUGUUCUACUAAUCAUGACAGGAUCCAGAGUCAAUUCAUGGGUUUUGUCGAUCGCGGGAGACGUGCCACCACCUUUGCAAAUACCACAACCGUCACGAGAGGUGCACAAACAUCCAAAUGCACAUGAUCAGGUUAAUGUAUCUAUACCACCAUUUCAUGGCCGUUUUAAACCUGCUUUAUAUAUUGAAUGGGAGUUCGACAUAAAAAAUAUAUUUGCUUCCCAUAAUUUCAAUGAACAUAAAAAGGUUAAGGUUGCGGUUGGUUCUUUCACUGGUUAUGCUUUGGUUUGGUGGAGUGAAUAUUGUCGGUUACACCCUGAUUAUAUACCUACUACUUGGGAUGAUUUGAAACUUGCCAUGCGACAUACUUUCGUCCCUGCUUAUUAUACUCGUGACAUGAUUAAGAAGUUGCAACACUUAAAACAAGGUAGUGAAACUGUAACAAAAUAUUAUGAUGAUUUACAAACUACCUUGUUGCAUUCCUCUUUAGAAGAAAGUGAAGAUGAUUUUAUGGAUAGAUUUUGGGGAGGAUUAAACCGUGAUAUUCAAGAGAUACUAAUUCAUGAAGAGUGUUAUCCUAUGGACCAUUUGUUUCAUCUUGCUUGCAAAGCUGAACAGGAAAUAAAACGACGUGUUGGUCACGAGGAGAACAAGCGCACGGUGCACAUUCCAAGAGUUGAUAUGAUUGUUCCUUCAACUACUAGGCAUACUAUGACAACCACAUCCGUUGUUGUCAGGACUACAUCACCUCCACCAUGUGACACAUCGCCCCCGAGAGUGGCUACAUCAUCUGAGUUGAUCAUAAGAGGUAAUGACAAAGGUACUGAUCUUCCAUCUCUACAUGAGAAUGAUGAAUGCCUUGUCAAUUUGAAUGCACCAUCUGAUGAGCUACCCACUACUUUGAUCACACCACCUAUUUUAGAGGACUACGUUGAUAAUUUGACUUUGCCAUGUGAUCAAACAACUGAAAUACCAACAAUUUUGAGUGCACCCAUUGAAUUAACUAUUGAUGCAAAAAAACCAAUGUUGAAUCAUUUUGAUAUGACCUCUAAUCUUGGUGAUGAUUCUGUGUUGAAUGACUUAUUGCAUGUUUGCUUAUUUAAGCAUGUUGUAGCAUGUAAAUUUGAUGCAAGUAAGGUUUAUUCACCAAUGUUGGGAUGGUUUAAUGAUGAACAUUGUCAAUCUUUUGAAAUGAAUAAGAGCUUCACUUAUAUGUGCAAACUGAGUUGCAAUAUUUUCAUGCCUUCUACUUCUUGUGCUAAUUUUUUGGCUUUAGAUUUUAUGAACUAUGCAAGUUACUCAUCUAUUCAUGUGUCAUAUAUGCAAAAAUCAAGGGAAGUAAAAAUGGAUGACAUAUACAUAUACAACAUGUACACCUUGUCUCUUUUGUUAGCCACAUUUCAGAUUAAGCAACGCCGAGGACGACUUUAUUUUCAAGAAGGGGAGGAUGAUGAGGACAUGACUACCUUGGAUAUGACCAAAAAUAUUGCAUAUAUGCAUAUUUGUCAGGUGAUUUCUAGUGCAAACUAUUCAAUAAUCUAUUUAUGUUAUCCAGAACAAAAAUACUUCACACACUUUUGUGUUUUGUCUAAUUGCAGGUGUAUGGGACAUUUGUACAAUCCACAUAUGAAGAUAAGGAAGAAAGAGAUGUUUAUUUGCUGUCCAAAAAGUUCUCUCAUGUCACUUUUGGCCCAAGAGAAGAUAGAGUCCAAGUCUCUCACGUUCUGGAUUCAGAUUCGGACUGCACAGACACACCUGACUCAAAACGCACACAAGUUUUUCAUACGGACCCCGAAUUGGGUGAUUCUUCUUUUGUUGGAAACUAGAUUUCGUGCACUCUCCAACCCAAUUGGAAUCACCUUCAAAUUCGUCCGGAGCGUUGAGUUGUGGACGAAACAAUCUGAUGCUGCAGCAGAAUCCGAGUCAAACUACAAGUCCAAAGGUGUUACAUCACCUCCACUUGGGCCCAUUGGCCUUGUACGACCUAGAUUUAGUUUUAGCUGCCUUGGGACGUCCUCCCACCUCCUUGGCCGCCACCCCUUGCUCCUAUAUAAGUAGAUCCAUCUAGUAGCUUUUCCUGGGGAUUUGUUUAGUUAAAAGUUAGCCAUUGCAACUUCGUGUACUUCGUUUGUGUCCAACGACCAGACCAAGACCGCUUCCGGAUCCCCACCAUUAUCAAUACUUCAUAUAUAUUUGCAAUAUUCAGAUUGCUUUAUCAUAUUCUUGCUCGUUCUUCGAUUGCUUGCAGGAACAGACCUUCGUGGUCAGGCUGACCGUGCUUCCAGCAUCGUCAGUAACCUCAGGAGAUUGGUUUAGCGAUUGCUAAGGCGCAACGUCGUGCACGUUUGUAGUCGGAUUGUCAAAGUCGUCUCCACCAAAUCGAUAGUUAUCAUCUCAUCGAAAGAUCAGGACCCUCGCCUCUAUCACAAGAUGUUGAUUGAGUUGAGAAGAUUCACAAAUGGCAAAUAAGACAAAUAGAUCAACCUUCCAAGAUAACACGAGGAACACACACACGAAAGAUAAAUGGGAUCCGCACAACCAAGGGGUGAGCUCGAAGAUAUGGAAUUACGGGAAAAGCUCUUGUUGUACGGAUACUAGAGAGAUGCUAGCUCGAUUGCACUAAUGGGCUAGAUACGCUAGUGCACCAACCUAAUAGAGAAUCCACUCGUCUCACUAUCCCAAGUAUGCUUAUGUAUGUGGUGCCCAAGAUGAUGCACGUAUGCUAAGGCUCGAUGCUAUUACUUAUAAGCUCUUUGCUUCUCUUCUCUUUUGCUUAAAAGCUUUUUCUUUUUUUCAACUAUGCCAUGAUGCUUGAUAUAUGAGCCGUACAACGAGGUAACAAGUAGUAAAUGCACGGGAUACUAAAUGGUGCACUAAGGCGUGGCCCGACAAUACUCAACAAACUAGUCUCGAUGGGUAAGCUAUGCAAAAUGGCUCAAAGUUAUCAAGUUAAUGGCAAGGGAGUACAAGGUGUCGUCGAGGUUACCGUCCUUGCUUACGGUCAAAGAUGAUCUUGUCGAAGCCGAAGUGUUGUCCGAGUCGAUGAUUGAUAGAGGCAAAGGUGUCCCGUCUUUCAAUGAGAUGAUGGAUAUCGCUUUGGUGGCAGUCGACUUUGACGAUCCGACUAUGAACGUGCGAGGAUGUCGCGCCUUAGCAAUCACUAAACCAACUCCGAGAAGUUAUUGACCACGCCAGAGCACGAUCAACUGACCACGAGGGUCUGUUUCCUGCGAACAAACGAAGAACAAGCAAGAAACUAAGAUUGCAAUCUGGAUAUUGCGAAUAUAAGAUGAAAGCUUUAUUGAUCAAGGUGGGGUUCUGUGACGCCUUUGUCUGGUCGUUGAACACAAACGAAGUACGCGAAGUUGCAGCUAUGGCGAACUUUUAAUCUAAACAAAACCCAAAGUCUAAACGGUGCCCUAAGGGCUGUAUAUAUGGAGGAAGAGAGGGGGAAUUUCGUGGCCCUUGGUGGAGGGGUCCGAAAUCAACCCUAUCUCUUGUUUCCCCACACAUACGGACUCUAAAAAUAGCCUAUACUUAUGUAUUUCGAAAUUACAUGGGCCUGGCCCAAUAAAAAGGUGACGCAACACCUAUAAUAGCCUCGGGACGAAAUUUAUGAAGUGGCAUCUUGUAUAUUUCGUCCAUGGCUUCAUGCACCCAUUAUGGUGGCUUCAAAGUCCUGAAAUCAUCACUUGUAACUCCGUUCUUGUUCCCCUUGCGCAUGGCAUCAUCUCCAUGCUUGUUCUUGCUCCAAUGUUCAUCCUUCUCCAAGCUAGGCCCUUCAUUUGUAAGCAAAACAAAUGUAUCCAAUUUAGGCAGCAUCAUAUUCUCAUGAACAUUAGAAUCAUUACCAAGAAACGAAAGUACCUGAUAAUUUAAUUGGCGUGCGCGAGCUCUAGUAAUUGGUCCCGUAUAUGUAGCAGUAGAGGCUGUGGGUGUAACAAUGGUAUUGAUGUCCUCAUCAUCCUCCCCUUCUUGAAAUGAAGUCGUCCUCGACGGAAACUCAUCUUCCUCACCCAAAUAAGGCUUCAAAUCUGCAAUGUUAAAAGUGGGACUAACCCCAAAAUCUGCAGGCAGCUCAAGUUUAUAUGCAUUAUCAUUUAUUUUCUCUAACACCUUAAAGGGACCAUCAGCACGUGGCAUUAGCUUUGAUUUGCGCAAAUCAGGAAAUCUAUCCUUACGCAAAUGUAACCAAACAAGAUCUCCAGGUGCAAACACAACAUGUUUUCUACCCUUAUCUCCAGCAAGUUUAUAUUUAGCAUUCAUACGCUCAAUGUUUUCCUUAGUUAACUCAUGCAUUUUUAAAAUCAAUUCAGCAUGUUGUUUAGCAUCAAAAUUAACCUUCUCCGAAGAUGGAAGAGGCAACAAAUCAAUAGGUGCACGAGGUAGGAAACCAUACACAACUUCAAAAGGGCACAUCUUAGUAGUAGAAUGCAAUGAACGAUUAUAAGCAAAUUCAAUAUGUGGCAAGCAUUCCUCCCACAUUUUCUUAUUAUUCUUCAAAACAGCCCUAAGCAUAGUAGACAACGUUCUAUUGACUACUUCAGUUUGUCCAUCAGUUUGGGGGUGACAAGUAGUACUAAAAAGCAGUUUAGUCCCCAACUUAGCCCAUAAACAUCUCCAAAAGUGGCUAAGAAAUUUAGUAUCACGAUCUGAAACAAUAGUAUUUGGCACACCAUGCAAGCGAAUAAUUUCACGAAAGAACAAAUCAGCAACAUUAACAGCAUCAUCGCUUUUAUGACAUGGUAUAAAGUGUGCCAUUUUUCGAGAAUCUAUCCACGACAACAAAUAUGCUAUCCCUCCCCUUCUUUGUUCGAGGUAAACCUAAAACAAAGUCCAUAGAUAUAUCCUCCCAAGGAACACUAGGUACAGGCAAAGGCAUAUAUAAACCAUGAGGAUUGAGUCGUGACUUAGCUUUUUGACAUGUAGUGCAUCGAGCAAUAAAACGCUCAACAUCCCAUCUCAUCUUUGGCCAAAAGAAAUGUGUAGCAAGUACGUCCUCCGUCUUCUUCACGCCAAAGUGUCCCAUUAAUCCUCCUCCAUGCGCCUCCUGCAACAACAAAAGACGAACGGAGCUAGCUGGAAUGCAUAGCUUGUUAGCACGAAACACAAAUCCAUCGUUAACGACGAACUUGUUCCACAUUCUUCCUUCUUUACAAUUCUGCAUUACAUCUUUAAAAUCAGCAUCAUGCACAUAUUGAUCUUUGAUGGUCUCCAAACCAAAUAUUUUGAAGCCAAGUUGUGAAAGCAUAGUAUAGCGGCGAGACAAUGCAUCAGCAAUAACAUUUUCUUUUUCCUUCUUGUGUUUAAUGACAUAAGGAAAAGUCUCAAUGAAUUCAACCCAUUUAGCAUGUCUAUGAUUCAGUUUAGCUUGACUUUUAAUAUGUUUCAAAGAUUCAUGAUCAGAAUGUAUAACAAAUUCUUUGGGCCAUAAAUAAUGUUGCUUUUCUAAAGUCCGAACAAGAGCAUAUAAUUCUUUAUCAUAAGUAGAAUAAUUCAGACUAGGCCCACUCAAUUUUUCAGAAAAGUAUGCAACAGGUUUGCCAUCUUGUAAUAACACACCGCCUAAUCCAAUUCCACUAGCAUCACAUUCAAGCUCAAAAGUCUUAUUAAAAUCAGGAAGUUGGAGUAAAGGAGCAUCUGUCAACUUAUCUUUCAAUACCGAGAAGGCUUCUUCCUGUGCGGUACCCCAAAGAAAAGGCACAUCUUUCUUUGUAAGCUCAUUGAGAGGUGCAGCAAUGGUGCUGAAAUCUCUCACAAAACGCCUAUAGAACCCAGCGAGGCCAAGAAAACUCCUCACUUGUGUGACCGUUUUGGGUUGCGGCCAACUCUCAAUAGCUUCAAUCUUGGCUUUAUCAACUUCAAUUCCUUGUGGAGUAACAACAUAGCCAAGAAAAGAUACUCGGUCGGUGCAAAAGGUGCACUUCCCAAGGUUACCAAACAAACGUGCAUCACGUAGAGCAAUAAAAACAGCACGUAAAUGUUCCAAAUGUUCUUCCAAAGAUCUGCUAUAAAUCAAUAUGUCAUCAAAGUAAACUACCACAAAUCGUCCAAUGAAAGCACGUAAAACUUCGUUCAUUAAUCUCAUGAAAGUACUAGGUGCAUUAGUUAACCCAAAAGGCAUGACUAACCACUCAUAUAAUCCAAACUUAGUUUUGAAUGCUGUUUUCCAUUCAUCUCCCAAUUUCAUACGAAUUUGAUGGUAUCCACUACGCAAAUCAACUUUGGAGAAUAUUGUAGAGCCACUCAAUUCAUCAAGCAUAUCAUCUAGCCUAGGAAUAGGAUGACGAUAAUGAAUAGUAAUAUUAUUAAUGCCUCUACAAUCAACACACAUACUGAUGUACCAUCCUUUUUCGGCACUAGAAUAAUAGGAACAACACAAGGACUAAGGGAUUCGCGUAUAUAACCUUUGUCGAGAAGCUCUUGUACUUGACGCAUAAUCUCCUUCGUCUCCUCUGGAUUGGUACGGUAUGGUGCACAGUUUGGCAGUGAAGCACCGGGAAUUAAGUCAAUCUGAUGCUCAAUCCCUCGAAUAGGCGGUAAUACCGGUGGCACGUUGAUAGAGGCAAAGGUGUCCCGUCUUUCGAUGAGAUGGUGGAUUUCGCUUUGGUGGAAGUCGACUUUGACGAUCCGACUACGAACGUGCGAGGACGUCGCGCCUUAGCAAUCGCUAAACCAACUCCGAGAGGUUAUUGACCACGCCGGAGCACGAUCAACCUGACCACGAGGGUCUGUUUCCUGCGAGCAAACGAAGAACAAGCAAGAAACUAAGAUUGCAAUCUGGAUAUUGCGAAUAUAAGAUGAAAGCUUUAUUGAUCAAGGUGGGGUUCUGUGACGCCUUUGUCUGGUCGUUGAACACAAACGAAGUACGCGAAGUUGCAGCUAUGGCGAACUUUUAAUCUAAACAAAACCCAAAGUCUAAACGAUGCCCUAAGGGCUGUAUAUAUGGAGGAAGAGGGGGGGAGGGAAUUUCGUGGCCCUUGGUGGAGGGGUCCGAAAUCAACCCUAUCUCUUGUUUCCCCACACAUACGGACUCUAAAAAUAGCCUAUACUUAUGUAUUUCGAAAUUACAUGGGCCUGGCCCAAUAAUAAGGUGACGCAGCACCUAAAAUAGCCUCGGGACGAAAUUUAUGAAGUGGCAUCUUGUAUAUUUCGUCCAAGGCUUCAUGCACCCAUUAUGGUGGCUUCAAAGUCCUGAAAUCAUCACUUGUAACUCCGUUCUUGUUUCCCUUGCGCAUGCCAUCAUCUCCAUGCUUGUUCUUGCUCCAAUGUUCAUCCUUCUCCAAGCUAGGCCCUUCAUUUGUAAGCAAAACAAAUGUAUCCAAUUUAGGCAGCAUCAUAUUCUCAUGAACAUUAGAAUCAUUACCAAGAAACGAAAGUACCUGGUAAUUUAGUUGGCGUGCACGAGCUCUAGUAAUUGGUCCAGUAUGUAUAGCAGCUGGGGUUGUGGGUGUAACAAUUGUAUUGAUGUCCUCAUCACACGUCUUGUGGAAAGACGUCAGCGAACUCCUGCAAAAUGUUAGUGACAGCAGGAGGCAAAGAGGAAGGCACGUCCUCGAAUGAAAAUAAUGCCUCUUUGCACACAAAAGCAUAGCAAACAGAUUUGCUGAAAUCUAGCUCAUCAAUAUCAGAUUUGGUGGCAAAUAAACAUGCACUUUUCAAUUUAAUUUCAGAAGCACCACUAGAUGGUUUAUUAUUAGGCUUCAUUUGUUGCUCAAAUUCUUUUGCCACAAUCUGAUUUUCACUCUUAUGCGUCUCCUGUUUUGCUUUAUUAGCUCUGUUAAUAUCAUCUUUCAAAAUGGAAUCAGGAGUCAUAGGAAGCAAAGUAAUAUUUUUAUCCUUAUGAACAAGAGUAUAGUGAUUGUUUCUACCAUGGUGUACAGAAUUUUUAUCAAAUUGCCAUGGUCUACCAAGUAAUAAGGAACAUGCUUGCAUAGGUACCACAUCACAAUCAGCAUAAUCAGCAUAUGUAGAGAUACUAAAAUGCACACGAACAGUACGUGUUACCUUAACCUUGCCGCUGUUGUUGAACCAUUGGAUGUAGUAAGGAUGUGGAUGUGGUCUUGUGGUGAGAGAAAGCUUCUCCACCAUCUCCAUGCUAGCCAAGUUGUUGCAGCUCCCUCCGUCUAUGAUGACGCGCACAUAACGUUCCUUCACAACUCCCUUGGUAUGGAACAAAUUGUGCCUCUGAUUUUGCUCAGCUUGUGUGAUCUGCACACUCAAAACACGUUGAGCAAACAUUCAUACCUGUCAGCGUCUUCAGGAGCCAUGUAUUGCAUCUCGUGAUCAGAAUCAUCUCCACCAUGUUCUUCACGUGUAAUAAGAGCCAAAGUCUCCUCAUCAUAGUCACUAGCAGACUCAUAUCCACCAUCCGCGGUAGCAAUCAUCACACGCGGAGAUUUGCAUUCUCUCGCAUAAUGACCUCCUCCCUUACAACGACGACAAAUAAUAUCACUUGUGUGCCCUGUUGAUGCCAUGGAAGAAGAAGAAUGCUAUGCAGGCCCCGCAGGUGCGCUCUUGGCAGAUAAUGGUGGCUGUGCCUGUUUUCUUGUAUCACGGCUGGAGGUGGCACCGGAUGGAGUUGCUGGUGCAGUUGAAGUAGAAGAUGCACGUGGUGUCCAUGAUGAAGGUCGGCCUGCAGAAAAGUUUGUUCGCCCCAAUGCUUGUCGAUCCUGCACUUCACGUUCAGCUUUACAAGCAAGAUGGAAUAAACGAGUGAUAUUAGUAUACUCCUUAUAGUCUAGAAUGGUCUGAAUCUCUCUAUUUAAUCACCCAGAAAACGUGCAAGCAUAGCUUCAUUCUCCUCAACAAUACCACAUCUAAUCAUGCCAGUUUGUAAUUCCUGAUAAUAUUCUUCUACGGAAUUUUUCCCUUGUCUUAAACGCUGCAAUUUUUGAAGCAAUUCACGUUGAUAUGGUGGAACCCAACGCGUACGCAUAGCAGUUUUCAAAGCAGCCCAAGUAGUUGGAAUAGGAUAUAAUCUACAAUGUUCAGACCACCAUACACAUGCAAAACUAGUGAAAGCACAAACAGCAGCAGCAACUCGUCUCUCCUCAGGAUAUUGUAAACAUGUAAAUCGUUGUUCAGUUUCUAACUCCCAAGUAAGAUAUAUAUCAGGAACAUAUCUACCCUCAAAUGGUGGAAUAUUCAAUUUCAGUUUAGGAAUAUGGACAUCAUCUCGUACCUGAGGUGGUGGUGCAGGCCUACCAUUAUGAAUAUAUACCUGAGGUCGACCUGCUGGUGGUGGUACAGGUGGCUGCACGUAGUGCUGAUUUUGAUCAACCUCAUCCUCAUAAUCUCCCACAUAAUCAUCCUCCUCCGCAUCAGCAGCAGGAGCCACAGAAGUUUCAACAGCAGCACCAACAGUUUGGCCAAACGCAAGAGGAACACGGCUCGCUCGGCGAAGGUCUGUUUCGCGACGUGGAAGUAGUCGUUGUUGUUGUUAUUGUUGGAGAGGUGCGUUAGGUGCAGCGGGUGGUGGUGGUGGAAGACGCGCGAGCAAUUCAUUAAACUUGUUAUCGAGCUUUGUUUCGAACGUCUUCUCAAGGCCAGUGAUCUUCUCCAUGGCCUCAUCAAAAUUGUUCAGCACAUCUUGCACCUGUUCAGUCAUCAUUUGCUGAAACUUAUCAUGAAGCUCCUUGUUUGAUAAAUUCUCCCAGUCAAUCUCGUCGGCUUGUGAUCCUGGCAUGGUUAGCAGCAAUAGAAACACACAAGAAUAUGAUCCUACAGACUACGAACAAGUGGUGGUGGUGGGUGUCACAAAUCCGUCAAGCAAAACUCAAAUUCUUACCAGUUCUUACCCAGCAACAGGCGGUGAUCGGCAACCGUUGUAGUCAAAACUCUCAAAGCUUGGAUAGAGCGAUUACCAGGGAGAGUCAAACGCACGACGUAGAUGUAUGUGGAGCUGGGAAGGCUUAUAAUAUGGUAGCAAAAAGGGUCAGCAAUAAUCAAUUCAGAGAUGCAAAGUUGAAUAAACGCUCAACGAGGGUACUGUGCUGGUCCUAGGCUAGACUGUGCUAGAGACGCGAGCCUAGAACACCAACAAAAUCAUGGCGCGGCACGUAAACAAGGGAGGAGCACACUCUGAAUUUUUUCUCUCUUUUUUUUGCACUUUUUUUCCUCUUUUUUUUUUGCUCCGCAACAAAUUUUUUUCAAAAAAGUCUACAAAUGGUCUAAAAACUGCCUAGCCAGAGUUUUUUUUUUGAAAUUGGAACUAUUUUUCUUCUGCGGAUGGCUCAGAAGUUGGGGAGUCCUUCUGUGUCACGACUCGGAGUAUCCCGUGAUCUGGAAAUCGAGAACAAUGCAACAAUUACUGGACUCGGACUAGGACUGGUGGCGGAGAUGAAUCUGGUGGAACUCGGACUGGUGGCGGAGAUGAAUCUGGUGGAACACGGACAGGUGGCGGAUAUAUGUUGCAGGUGAACUCAGAGUGGCGUGAUGGCGGCGGAUAUGUGGUGGCGUAUAUGGAUUCGGAUUGGCGGUGAAUAUGUGGUGGUGGUAUAUGGCAACAGCGACGAUGAUGAUGCGGUGGUGAUAUAUGGUAGCGGCGACGUGACAACCUGUGAACAGAACUCGAAGCUCUAAAAGACUAGACACUAAGACCAGCAACUGGACACGACGAUGCAACUAUAAAUUCAACAAAGCAAAUACAGAAAAGAUUAUGCAAGGCUCAGAUUGGUUCGGAUGGGAUGAACUAACCAUAAUUUUUUUUGGCUUUUUCGUGGACUAUAGGUAUGAAGAACAGACUCGAUCUAAACUACGAAAAACUGUAAAAUCUCACCGAGCAACCUGGAAAUCUGAUACCACUUGAUAGAGGCAAAGGUGUCCCGUUUUUCGAUGAGAUGAUGGAUAUCACUUUGGUGGCAGUCAACUUUGACGAUCCGACUACGAACGUGCGAGGACGUCGCGCCUUAGCAAUCACUAAACCAACUCCGAGAGGUUAUUGACCACGCCGGAGCAUGAUCAACCUGACCACGAGGGUCUGUUUCCUCCGAGCAAACGAAGAACAAGCAAGAAACUAAGAUUGCAAUCUGGAUAUUGCGAAUAUAAGAUGAAAGCUUUAUUGAUCAAGUUGGGGUUCUGUGACGCCUUUGUCUGGUCGUUGAACACAAACGAAGUACGCGAAGUUGCAGGUAUGGCGAACUUUUAAUCUAAACAAAACCCAAAGUCUAAACGGUGCCCUAAGGGCUGUAUAUAUGGAGGAAGAGAGGGGGAAUUUCGUGGCCCUUGGUGGAGGGGUCCGAAAUCAACCCUAUCUCUUGUUUCCCCACACAUACGGACUCUAAAAAUAGCCUAUACUUAUGUAUUUCGAAAUUACAUGGGCCUGGCCCAAUAAAAAGGUGACGCAGCACCUAUAAUAGCCUCGGGACGAAAUUUAUGAAGUGGCAUCUUGUAUAUUUCGUCCAUGGCUUCAUGCACCCAUUAUGGUGGCUUCAAAGUCCUGAAAUCAUCACUUGUAACUCCGUUCUUGUUCCCCUUGCGCAUGGCAUCAUCUCCAUGCUUGUUCUUGCUCCAAUGUUCAUCCUUCUCCAAGCUAGGCCCUUCAUUUGUAAGCAAAACAAAUGUAUCCAAUUUAGGCAACAUCAUAUUCUCAUGAACAUUAGAAUGAUUACCAAGAAACGAAAGUACCUGAUAAUUUAAUUGGCGUGCGCGAGCUCUAGUAAUUGGUCCCGUAUAUGUAGCAGUAGGGGCUGUGGGUGUAUCAAUGGUAUUGAUGUCCUUAUCAAUGAUUGGUGGCGAUGAUGAUACCAACUUGCGCCUAAGUAGCCGAAACACCUUAGGACACAAGAGAAAUCGCAACCGAACACUCAACAAACACAUGGAAUGGUGCGGAAGAACACGAGAGGUGUUGAAACAAAAUGAAAAAAAUUAAAAAAUGGCCGAAACUUCCUGGAUAGCCCGUGCGCACGGGGUAAGUGAGGCCCGUGUGCACGGGGUCCCGUGUGCACGGGGUCCCGAUGGCCCGUGUGCAUGGGGUCUCCCGAGAGCGGAUGAACUGAUCUGAUUUUGUGGUGAUUGCAAGUUUUUGGCCAAAUUCUAGUGGGGGAAGGGUGGGGAUGAUGUUGGAGGUGUAGAUCCACUUGCUAAACACCAAAUUCGUGGAUCAAAUCAACCAAAUCUCACAAGAUCAACAAAUUGCAAGAAAAUUUUUUGGGGCUAUUUUUGGUGGGGAUUUUCGGAUUAGGACGAAAAACAACAAAAUCAAGCUAGAAAGUGGAAGGUAGGGACUCCAAGAUGUGAAUCAACGUGGCUCAUGAUACCAAGAUGAUGUAGGUAGAACCCUAGGAAGGACCUUUUCACACUUGGAGGGGGGAAAAAGGAGAGAAACCACAAGAACAACAAGAACACAAAGAUGAACACAAGAGGUAAUCACUCCAACAAUUCCCGAUUACACAUCCACUAGAGUAACAACACAAGAUCCACAAGUCACCAACACAAUCAAAGGAAAGAUACAAUGGCAAAGUUCAUCCCAAAUCCAAAGGAAGAGGGGUCUUGAAGGUAGUCUUCUCCCAAUGGAGGUCUUGAAAUCCUCAAGGAUUCUUCCCUAUGGGGUCUUGAUCCUCAAAGAGGGAAGGUAAUGGAGCAAAGCUCACCAAGAUCUCAUGAUGAGGACAUGACUACCUUGGAUAUGACCAAAAAUAUUGCAUAUAUGCAUAUUUGUCAGGUGAUUUCUAGAGCAAACUAUUCAAUAAUCUAUUUAUGUUAUCCAGAACAAAAAUACUUCAGACACUUUUGUGUUUUGUCUAAUUGCAGGUGUAUGGGACAUUUGUCCAAUCCACAUGUGAAGAUAAGGAAGAAAGAGAUGUUUAUUUGCUGUCCAAAAAAUUCUCUCACGUCACUUUUGGCCCAAGAGAAGAUAGAGUCCAAGUCUCUCACGUUCUGGAUUCAGAUUCGGACUGCACAGACAUACCUGACUCAAAACGCACACAAGUUUUUCAUACGGACUCCUAAUUGGGUGAUUCUUUUUUUGUUGGAAACUAGAUUUCGUGCACUUUCCAACCCAAUUGGAAUCACCUUCAAAUUCGUCCGGAGCAUUGAGUUGUGGACGAAACAAUCUGAUGCUGCAGCAGAAUCCGAGUCAAACUACAAGUCCAAAGGUGUUACAUCACCUCCACUUGGGCCCAUUGGCCUUGUACGACCUAGAUUUAGUUUUAGGCUGCCUUGGGACGUCCUCCCACCUCCUUGGCCGCCACCCCUUGCUCCUAUAUAAGUAGAUCCAUCUAGUAGCUUUUCCUUGGGAUUUGUUUAGUUAAAAGUUAGCCAUUGCAACUUCGUGUACUUCGUUUGUGUCCAACGACCAGACCAAGACCGCUUCCGGAUCCCCACCAUUAUCAAUACUUCAUAUUUAUUUGCAAUAUUCAGAUUGCUUUAUCAUAUUCUAGCUCGUUCUUCGAUUGCUUGCAGGAAUAGACCUUCGUGGUCAGGCUGACCGUGCUUCCAGCAUCGUCAGUAACCUCAGGAGAUUGGUUUAGCGAUUGCUAAGGCGCAACGUCGUGCACGUUUGUAGUCGGAUCGUCAAAGUCGUCUCCACCAAAUCGAUAGUUAUCAUCUCAUUGAAAGAUCGGGACCCCGCCUCUAUCAAGUGGUAUCAGUUUUCAGGUUGCUCGGUGAGAAUUUCUAGUUUUCCUAGAUUAGAUUUAUUUUCUUACCUAUUGUCCAAGAAAAACCACAAAAAAGAGUUAGAUCUAUUCAUCCUUUGUCCUAGCUAGACUGAGCCUUUGCAAUUUUCUUUUCAUUGUUUGCAUUAUUGAAUUAUCGGUUGCAUCGCCGUGUCGAGUUGCUGGUCUUAGUGUCUAGUUCCUUUAGAGUUUUGAGUUCUGUUCACAUUAGUCACGCAGCCGCUGCAUCAUUAUCCCAUCCACUGUCCACCAUCCCAUCCACCAAUUUCCACCACGUGCUACGCACUGUUUAUUGUCAUAAUCAUAGUUGAGGUCACUCACAUCUUCGCCUGAUUGAAUCUGCAUCUUAUCUAGUUUGUCUUGGAAAGGGGGAGAAAAAGAAGAUAAAGAAAAAAAAGAGAGAAAAAAGGAAAGAAAAAAUAGAAAAAGAGGGAGAAGAAAAAGAAAAAAAAAGCGUGAGAAAAAAAAGAGAGAAGAAAAAAAAUUGGAUCUAUCUAGAAUCAAUCUCGUACCUGAAUUCGGAUUGGAAUCUGUUUUGCGCACUGUUCGGUAAAAUAGGUGUAUCUUCCUCAUACGAAGUCCGUUUUGGCUCCGUGAGAACUCAAAUUGAAGAUAGUGACGAGCCGCAUCUAAAUAGUUGCAGAAGCUAGGUCAAUAUUUGACACCUCAAAAUCGGCUUCUAAAUAGGUCUUUUUGCCCUCCGAAGUUCGUGAACACAGCUUGUUCCAAUUUUUUAGGCCAGUUUUAGAAUUCUUUGACUCCUCAUAUCAACUCGGAAUUGAGUGAUUCUUUUUGAAUUGGAAAGCUUGAGUUAGUAGCAUUCUUUGAAAGAAUUUAUCAGAAAAUUGUCUCAAACUUUUUAAGAGGAAAGUUGGAGAGAGAGUUGUUGUAUAUCCUGCUUGGCAGUUGUUUUUCAUCAUUAUCUUCACUGCCGUUGUGAUCUUCACUUAUAUCUUGCUGUCAAGAGCUACUUAGUAUCCUUCAUUGAUGCUAGUUGUGCUACGCCGUGACCUCAUUAGUGUUCUAGGCUCGCGCCUCUAGUCCGGUCUAGCCUAGGACCAGCACAGUACCGUCGUUGAGCGUUUAUUCAACAUUGCAUCUUUGAAUUGAUUAUGGCUAAUCUUUUGCUACCAUAUAUAGCCAACCCAGCUCCACAUAUUUCUACACCGUGUAUACGUACGCUCCCCUGGCAAUCGCUUUACUCAAUAUUCGGAGUUACUUGACACCGCUGGUUGCCGAUCACCGCCUGCUGCAUGGUAAGAACUUGUAAGACAUUGAUAUUUGCUUUACUGUGAGCGUUUUACCACCACAUCCUAGUAGUUAUAGGAACAUUAUUUUUGGGUUUUGUUUCUUGUUCUACUAAUCAUGACAGGAUCCAGAGUCAAUUCAUGGGCUUUGUCGAUCGCGGGAGAUGUGCCACCACCUUUGCAAAUACCACAACCGUCACGAGAGGUGCACAAACAUCCAAAUGCACAUGAUCAGGUUAAUGUAUCUAUACCACCAUUUAAUGGCCGUUUUAAACCUGCUUUAUAUAUUGAAUGGGAGUUCGACGUAAAAAAUAUAUUUGCUUCCCAUAAUUUCAAUGAACAUAAAAAGGUUAAGGUUGCGGUUGGUUCUUUCACUGGUUAUGCUUUGGUUUGGUGGAGUGAAUAUUGUCGGUUACACCCUGAUUAUAUACCUACUACUUGGGAUGAUUUGAAACUUGCCAUGCGACAUACUUUCGUCCCUGCUUAUUAUACUCGUGACAUGAUUAAGAAGUUGCAACACUUAAAACAAGGUAGUGAAACUGUAACAAAAUAUUAUGAUGAUUUACAAACUACCUUGUUGCAUUCCUCUUUAGAAGAAAGUGAAGAUGAUUUUAUGGAUAGAUUUUGGGGAGGAUUAAACCGUGAUAUUCAAGAGAUACUAAUUCAUGAAGAGUGUUAUCCUAUGGACCAUUUGUUUCAUCUUGCUUGCAAAGCUGAACAGGAAAUAAAACGACGUGUUGGCCACGAGGAGAACAAGCGCACGGUGCACAUUCCAAGAGUUGAUAUGAUUGUUCCUUCAACUACUAGUCAUACUAUGACAACCACAUCCGUUGUUGUCAGGACUACAUCACCUCCACCAUGUGACACAUCGCCCCCGAGAGUGGCUACAUCAUCUGAGUUGAUCAUAAGAGGUAAUGACAAAGGUACUGAUCUUCCAUCUCUACAUGAGAAUGAUGAAUGCCUUGUCAAUUUGAAUGCACCAUCUGAUGAGCUACCCACUACUUUGAUCACACCACCUAUUUUAGAGGACUACGUUGAUAAUUUGACUUUGCCAUGUGAUCAAACAACUGAAAUACCAACAAUGUUGAGUGCACCCAUUGAAUUAACUAUUGAUGCAAAAGAACCAAUGUUUAAUCAUUUUGAUAUGACCUCUAAUCUUGGUGAUGAUUCUGUGUUGAAUGACUUAUUGCAUGUUUGCUUAUUUAAGCAUGUUGUAGCAUGUAAAUUUGAUGCAAGUAAGGUUUAUUCACCAAUGUUGGGAUGGUUUAAUGAUGAACAUUGUCAAUCUUUUGAAAUGAAUAAGAGCUUCACUUAUAUGUGCAAACUGAGUUGCAAUAUUUUCAUGCCUUCUACUUCUUGUGCUAAUUUUUUGGCUUUAGAUUUUAUGAACUAUGCAAGUUACUCAUCUAUUCAUGUGUCAUAUAUGCAAAAAUCAAGGGAAGUAAAAAUGGAUGACAUAUACAUAUACAACAUGUACACCUUAGCCACAUUUCAGAUUAAGCAACGCCGAGGACGGCUUUAUUUUCAAGAAGGGGAGGAUGAUGAGGACAUGACUACCUUGGAUAUGACCAAAAAUAUUGCAUAUAUGCAUAUUUGUCAGGUGAUUUCUAGUGCAAACUAUUCAAUAAUCUAUUUAUGUUAUCCAGAACAAAAAUACUUCACACACUUUUGUAUUUUGUCUAAUUGCAGGUGUAUGGGACAUUUGUGCAAUCCACAUAUGAAGAUAAGGAAGAAAGAGAUGUUUAUUUGCUGUCCAAAAAGUUCUCUCACGUCACUUUUGGCCCAAGAGAAGAUAGAGUCCAAGUCUCCCACGUUCUGGAUUCAGAUUCGGACUGCACAGACAUACCUGACUCAAAACGCACACAAGUUUUUCAUACGGACUCCGAAUUGGGUGAUUCUUUUUUUGUUGGAAACUAGAUUUCGUGCACUUUCCAACCCAAGUGGAAUCACCUUCAAAUUCGUCCGGAGCGUUGAGUUGUGGACGAAACAAUCUGAUGCUGCAGCAGAAUCCGAGUCAAACUACAAGUCCAAAGGUGUUACAUCACCUCCACUUGGGCCCAUUGGCCUUGUACGACCUAGAUUUAGUUUUAGGAUGCCUUGGGACGUCCUCCCACCUCCUUGGCCGCCACCCCUUGCUCCUAUAUAAGUAGAUCCAUCUAGUAGCUUUUCCUUGGGAUUUGUUUAGUUAAAAGUUAGCCAUUGCAACUUCGUGUACUUCGUUUGUGUCCAACGACCAGACCAAGACCGCUUACGGAUCCCCACCAUUAUCAAUACCUCAUAUAUAUUUGCAAUAUUCAGAUUGCUUUAUCAUAUUCUUGCUCGUUCUUCGAUUGCUUGCAGGAAUAGACCUUCGUGGUCAGGCUGAUCGUGCUUCCGGCAUCAUCAGUAACCUCAGGAGAUUGGUUUAGCGAUUGCUAAGGCGCAACGUCGUGCACGUUUGUAGUCGGAUCGUCAAAGUCGUCUCCACCAAAUCGAUAGUUAUCAUCUCAUCGAAAGAUCGGGACACCCCCGCCUCUAUCAGGUCUAGCCUAGGACCAGCACAGUACCGUCGUUGAGCGUUUAUUCAACAUUGCAUCUUUGAAUUGAUUAUUGCUAAUCUUUUGCUACCAUAUAUAGCCAACCCAGCUCCACAUAUUUCUACACCGUGUAUACGUACGCUCCCCUGGCAAUCGCUUUACUCAAUAUUCGGAGUUACUUGACACCGCUGGUUGCCGAUCAUCGCCUGCUGCAUGGUAAGAACUUGUAAGACAUUGAUAUUUGCUUUACUGUGAGCGUUUUACCACCACAUCCUAGUAGUUAUAGGAACAUUAUUUUUGGGUUUUGUUUCUUGUUCUACUAAUCAUGACAGGAUCCAGAGUCAAUUCAUGGGCUUUGUCGAUCGCGGGAGACGUGCCACCACCUUUGCAAAUACCACAACCGUCACGAGAGGUGCACAAACAUCCAAAUGCACAUGAUCAGGUUAAUGUAUCUAUACCACCAUUUAAUGGCCGUUUUAAUCCUGCUUUAUAUAUUGAAUGGGAGUUCGACAUAAAAAAUAUAUUUGCUUCCCAUAAUUUCAAUGAACAUAAAAAGGUUAAGGUUGCGGUUGGUUCUUUCACUGGUUAUGCUUUGGUUUGGUGGAGUGAAUAUUGUCGGUUACACCCUGAUUAUAUACCUACUACUUGGGAUGAUUUGAAACUUGCCAUGCGACAUACUUUCGUCCCUGCUUAUUAUACUCGUGACAUGAUUAAGAAGUUGCAACACUUAAAACAAGGUAGUGAAACUGUAACAAAAUAAUAUGAUGAUUUACAAACUACCUUGUUGCAUUCCUCUUUAGAAGAAAGUGAAGAUGAUUUUAUGGAUAGAUUUUGGGGAGGAUUAAACCGUGAUAUUCAAGAGAUACUAAUUCAUGAAGAGUGUUAUCCUAUGGACCAUUUGUUUCAUCUUGCUUGCAAAGCUGAACAGGAAAUAAAACGACGUGUUGGCCACGAGGAGAACAAGCGCACGGUGCACAUUCCAAGAGUUGAUAUGAUUGUUCCUUCAACUACUAGGCAUACUAUGACAACCACAUCCGUUGUUGUCAGGACUACAUCACCUCCACCAUGUGACACAUCGCCCCCGAGAGUGGCUACAUCAUCUGAGUUGAUCAUAAGAGGUAAUGACAAAGGUACUGAUCUUCCAUCUCUACAUGAGAAUGAUGAAUGCCUUGUCAAUUUGAAUGCACCAUCUGAUGAGCUACCCACUACUUUGAUCACACCACCUAUUUUAGAGGACUACGUUGAUAAUUCGAGUUUGCCAUGUGAUCAAACAACUGAAAUACCAACAAUUUUGAGUGCACCCAUUGAAUUAACUAUUGAUGCAAAAGAACCAAUGUUUAAUCAUUUUGAUAUGACCUCUAAUCUUGGUGAUGAUUCUGUGUUGAAUGACUUAUUGCAUGUUUGCUUAUUUAAGCAUGUUGUAGCAUGUAAAUUUGAUGCAAGUAAGGUUUAUUCACCAAUCUUGGGAUGGUUUAAUGAUGAACAUUGUCAAUCUUUUGAAAUGAAUAAGAGCUUCACUUAUAUGUGCAAACUGAGUUGCAAUAUUUUCAUGCCUUCUACUUCUUGUGCUAAUUUUUUGGAUUAGAUUUUAUGAACUAUGCAAGUUACUCAUCUAUUCAUGUGUCAUAUAUGCAAAAAUCAAGGGAAGUAAAAAUGGAUGACAUAUACAUAUACAACAUGUACACCUUGUCUCUUUUGUUAGCCACAUUUCAGAUUAAGCAACGCCGAGGACGGCUUUAUUUUCAAGAAGGGGAGGAUGAUGAGGACAUGAAUACCUUGGAUAUGACCAAAAAUAUUGCAUAUAUGCAUAUUUGUCAGGUGAUUUCUAGUGCAAACUAUUCAAUAAUCUAUUUAUGUUAUCCAGAACAAAAAUACUUCACACACUUUUGUGUUUUGUCUAAUUGCAGGUGUAUGGGACAUUUGUACAAUCCACAUGUGAAGAUAAGGAAGAAAGAGAUGUUUAUUUGCUGUCCAAAAAGUUCUCUCACGUCACUUUUGGCCCAAGAGAAGAUAGAGUCCAAGUCUCUCACGUUCUGGAUUCAGAUUCGGACUGCACAGACAUACCUGACUCAAAACGCACACAAGUUUUUCAUACGGACUCCGAAUUGGGUGAUUCUUUAUUUGUUGGAAACUAGAUUUCGUGAACUUUCCAACCCAAUUGGAAUCACCUUCAAAUUCGUCCGGAGCAUUGAGUUGUGGACGAAACAAUCUGAUGCUGCAGCAGAAUCCGAGUCAAACUACAAGUCCAAAGGUGUUACAUCACCUCCACUUGGGCCCAUUGGCCUUGUACGACCUAGAUUUAGUUUUAGGCUGCCUUGGGACGUCCUCCCACCUCAUUGGCCGUCACCCCUUGCUCCUAUAUAAGUAGAUCCAUCUAGUAGCUUUUCUUUGGGAUUUGUUUAGUUAAAAGUUAGCCAUUGCAACUUCGUGUACUUCGUUUGUGUCCAACGACCAGACCAAGACCGCUUACGGAUCCCCACCAUUAUCAAUACUUCAUAUUUAUUUGCAAUAUUUAGAUUGCUUUAUCAUAUUCUAGCUCGUUCUUCGAUUGCUUGCAGGAAUAGACCUUCGUGGUCAGGCUGACCGUGCUUCCAGCAUCGUCAGUAACCUCAGGAGAUUGGUUUAGCGAUUGCUAAGGCGCAACGUCGUGCACGUUUGUAGUCGGAUCGUUAAAGUUGUCUCCACCAAAUCGAUAGUUAUCAUCUCAUCGAAAGAUCGGGACCCCGCCUCUAUCAUCUCAUCUAAUACUUUGCUAACCCUAAACAUGGUCCUAGGUACGGAAUAUAUAGCCUUGGAGUUGAGGGAGAAGAAGGGGAGCCGAAGAUGCAAUCUCAGCCGGCCAUCCUGGGAGGCCCGUGCGCACGGUGUGCUCCAGCGCCUGUUUCCUGUGCAGCCCAUGGGCACGGGGUCUCGGGGGCCCGUGCGCACGGGGUCGCCUGGGACUUCCUGUGUUGCUGCUGUUGCACUCCGUCUUGAUUCGUGCGGCCUUGGGGUGCUCCUCCUUCUCCUUGGGGAUGCUCCUGAGCUUCUUGGUGAUGUUCCACUUCAUACCUAAGGAGGCAUAGCAUAUUUUGGUGAGGUAGUAGACAUGUUCCAUUUGUGUCCAUACGCAAGUCUAGUAGGAAGGAGUUCACCUUGAUUUCCAAAGCACGUGCUCUAGCUCUUGUCAUGGGUCCUCAUGGGGUUGGAUGUGUAGAUGUAGAGUCCAUGGGGAUGAUGGAAGGAUGCUCCGCAUCACAAUAUGGGAGAUCUCACUCAUAGCAUAUGACAAGUUCAACGGGUUGUCAAACAUGAUGUGACGAAUAGAAUUUUCACAUGAUAUCCUAUGAAGCAUAGCAUCACAACUAGGCAACUCAACAUGCUCAUCAUCAUAUUCAUCAUAAAUAGGUAAGUCAAGGCAUGAAGAAGUUUUACUAGCAUCAAGCAUGGCAAUAGGUGGGUCAACAUCAUGGGAGCAAUCAUUGUCAAGAGAGUCCACUAGUGGGACAAGAGAAGCACCAUCACCUAUGUUACCUUUGGAGCAUCGCUCAUGUGUUGUAGGUGAGGUGUUGAAGAUCCAUUCGUUGUCAUCUUCGUCUUGAUGGAACCAUGUGGGGGGUGCAACAUUGUCCACCAUGGCCAUCGUCGUCUCCAUUGGAGGAAUGGACUCGUCGAUGAUAGGCAUGUCGUCAUGUAGGAGACCUAGCACCAAAGAAGGAAACACACUCGGAGUAGAGGUUAAGGUGUUAGAAAUCAUAGUGUCCUCACAUGCCGUGUCAACUACCUCACUCACUAAGUGUUGUGGCUCACUCACUCCCUCAAGGAUGCUCUCACUCAUAUGGUUGGUGGAGUCACUCAAAUGGCGCUCAACCUCACAUAGGAUGUGUGACAUGUUCUCAUGUGUGGGUCUAGUGAUGGUCACACUAAUCCUCUCAUAGGAAAUGCUCUCAAUGUCACAUAUGGUGGAGUCACUCAUCUCACUCAUGGGGUGGUGGCUCUCGUCACAUGACAAAUUGGGCAUCUCAACAUAUGUGGGUGUCGGAGAAAUGUUGGUGCAAAUGUCUCCAUGCUCAACUCCUAUCACCGUGGUCGAAGGGGAUGGCCCUUGCUCGACCUUCUUGUCGCUGUCUUGGUGUUGGAGGCCCAUAUGAUGUGGCACCUCGUAGCUCGUCUCCAUGACCGAAGGGAGUUUCCCAUGCUCGGCCAUCGUCCUUGAGGGGCUUCCGAAGAUGGAAGUGUCACCCUUGCUUGUAGGUCGUCGCCUUGGACUUGAUGAAGUCGUUGUAGUCGUACUCGUGGGAAGUAGGUGAAGAUGUCGUACGUCCAAAGGCGAAGAUGCUUUGAUAGCACUUGGCGAAGAUGCUAAAGUGGUUGAUGUAGUCGUAGCACCGUCUUGGUGGUGGUCGUCUCGCGGUCUUCUUUUGUGCUCAUGAAGCGUCGACUUGGCGUGAAGUAGGGCUUGUUGGGACUUGUGCAUUAGCGCUUGUGGAGCAUCUUCAUGAUGAUGAUGUCGUUGUCGUGCUUGAGCUCGUAGUAGAUGUUGUUCGUCGUCGUCGUGCACAUGAUGCUUGGAGGUGACUUGCCCUUCAUGAUGAUGUGGAUCACGAACGUGAUGGUGGUCGCCAUGUAGAUGUGGACGAGGACGAUUUGCACUUGCAUCGUUUCCGCGCUCCGAAGACUUGUGGCUUGAAUGUCGCCGCCUUGAAGAUGACGAAGGGGAAGAAGACUUGAUCAAGUCUCUAAUCUCCUCCAUCCUUGCAUCUUGCUCCUCUUUAUGUGCGGAAAGCUUCUUGUCGAUGUAGUCCCUUUUCCUUGCUUCGGAGUGACGAAUGUUGAUGGAGAUGUUCUUGAUGCACUCUUGCAAUCUUGAUUGUGCGCCUUGCAUUUGUCGUUGUAGAUCAAAGAUGGACGCUUUGUUGAUGUAGUUGUUCACGCCGUCGUUGUUGUCGUAGACCGGAGAUGAAAUGCCAUGCCUAUCCAUCAUAAGACUCAAGCAAAUAUGAGUGGGAGAAAGAGAAGAACCUAUACCAAUGUACCUUCACCAAUGUUGACAAUGAAUCAAGUUCACUCAAAUGCGGACAAUGAAAUAGCACUAUUGGUACCAAUCCUUGUCGGUUCUCACACCUACACAAGUAAAGCUUAUGGAGGAGCUCGGUGAGGAUACUGGCAUAAAAAUUUAACGCAAAUGAUAGAGGCAAAGGUGUCCCGUCUUUCGAUGAGAUGAUGGAUAUCGCUUUGGUGGCAGUCGACUUUGACGAUCCGACUACGAACGUGCGAGGACGUCGCGCCUUAGCAAUCGCUAAACCAACUCCGAGAGGUUAUUGACCACGCCGGAGCACGAUCAACCUGACCACGAGGGUCUGUUUCCUGCGAGCAAACGAAGAACAAGCAAGAAACUGAGAUUGCAAUCUGGAUAUUGCGAAUAUAAGAUGAAAGCUUUAUUGAUCAAGGUGGGGUUCUGUGACGCCUUUGUCUGGUCGUUGAGCACAAACGAAGUACGCGAAGUUGCAGCUAUGGCGAACUUUUAAUCUAAACAAAACCCAAAGUCUAAACGAUGCCCUAAGGGCUGUAUAUAUGGAGGAAGAGGGGGGAAUUUCGUGGCCCUUGGUGGAGGGGUCCGAAACCAACCAUAUCUCUUGUUUCCCCACACAUACGGACUCUAAAAAUAGCCUAUACUUAUGUAUUUCGAAAUUACAUGGGCCUGGCCCAAUAAUAAGGUGACGCAGCACCUAAAAUAGCCUCGGCACGAAAUUUAUGAAGUGGCAUCUUGUAUAUUUCGUCCAAGGCUUCAUGCACCCAUUAUGGUGGCUUCAAUGUCCUCAAAUCAUCACUUGUAACUCCGUUCUUGUUCCCCUUGCGCAUGCCAUCAUCUCCAUGCUUGUUCUUGCUCCAAUGUUCAUCCUUCUCCAAGCUAGGCCCUUCAUUUGUAAGCAAAACAAAUGUAUCCAAUUUAGGCAGCAUCAUAUUCUCAUGAACAUUAGAAUCAUUACCAAGAAACGAAAGUACCUGGUAAUUUAGUUGGCGUGCACGAGCUCUAGUAAUUGGUCCAGUAUGUAUAGGAGCAGGGGCUGUGGGUGUAACAAUUGUAUUGAUGUCCUCAUCAGCAAAAUGUUAGCAAGAGUCAAUAAUGUUGAAAAAGAUUCACAAAUUUGCAAGCGAAACAAGUAGACCAAUAGCAAUGAAAGGUACACGGAAACACACACACACGGAUAUAUAAAUGGGGUCGUGCAACCAAGGGAUGAGCACAAAAUGUGGAAUCCACGGAAAACGCUCAUGUUGCACAACUCAAGAAGACGCUGGCACGAUUGCUCAAUAGGCGGAUACGACACUUGUGCACAACCUAUAAGAUGCAAAAUAUAUGGACUUCUAUCCCAAGUAUGCUAUGUAUGUAUGGUUCCCGGUGUUUCUCUCAAGAUGAUCCAAGAUGAUCGGAUAUGACAAUCUUAUAUGCAAUGUGGUAUGAUGCUAUGGCACUUGCUUACAAGCUUCUUUGCGCUCUUUCUUUUGCUUAAAAGCUUUAUUUCUUCUUCUUUUUUUUGUAUGGCCACUUUUGCACAAUGCACAAACCAAGAUAACAAUUGUGUAUAUGCGGGAACAAACUUGUGACACAAGAUAUGAUACCAAUAUUUGCACCACGAUGAUAUGGUAUAUAUGCUAUGGGAAGUAUGAUCACUAAUGUGCACAAGUAAUGUUGCCGGCAAUACUCAAAUGGCUAGUCUCGAUAGGCAAGUGACGCAAAAUGGUCUAGGGGUUAACAAUGCAAUGGCAAGGGGAACAUACAAUGGAGGGAUACCACGAUACCAAGAUGAUAUGGAGGUUACCGUCCUUGGAGAUGAUGAGUGGCGGUGUUCUUGAUGUCGAAACCAAGAUGAUGGAGACUCAUCCCUAAGUAGCCGAAACACCUUAGGAAACGGAAAACCGUGAACUCAAAAUCUCAAACGUCAAAUGUCAAAAUGGUAGUAGCGGAAAGCGGUGGUGGUUUGCACUUGGCAAUGCGGAAGUGGGAUGAUGGGCUAUACACGGUGUAAGAGUUGGAAGUACGCGGGCCCUAAGUAGCCGAAACACCUUAGGAGACACAACUCACAACACAAACAAAAUGGGUUAAGUUGGGUUGGCGGACGUGUAUGGUGGGCAAGCCUAUGCGGAAGUUAUGUUGGUGGUGGUGGUUGAUGAAGAAGCAACCGUCCCUAAGUAGCCGAAACACCUUAGGAGACUCGAAUCACUAUUCAAGCAACCACUAAUGCUAUAUGGAUCAAAAUGGGUUAGGUUGCGGAAGUCAGUGGUGGUUAUGCGGAUGUUGUGGUGGAAGCCCUAGGCAAACUUGCCAAAUUCUCAAAUAUUUGAUGGAGCCAAAUGAUGUUGUUGUUAUUUUUGUGGGAUGGGGGAUGUCAAUAGCUUCAAAACGAGCUAAAGAACGUCAAAAUCGGACUCCGGAUGAUUUAGUUAUGGCCGAAACGGUGAAACGGGAAAAGCUGAAAUGACAAGGGUCGGACAUCCGGGGCUCGGGCCGGAUUUCCGGGACCUGAUGUCCAGAACCGCGCGCGAAAAUGCACUCCAGGAGCCGGAUGUCCGGGCUAAUGGGCGGAUGUCCAGGCUGGCCGGAUGUCCGGUGGUCGGGCCGGAUGUCCGGGCUCCCAAUCCGAGGAUGAACUCGAGGAACUCGAUUUUGGGGGCGGAAAUUGAUGAUUUCGGGGGCAAAAUUUGAUGGAUUUCGUGGAUGGAAAGUGGGAAAACUUGGGGGAAAGCUAGAUCCACUUGAAACCAAGCAAAUCCAUGGAUCAAAAUCAACAAAACAUCAUCAAACCAACAAAUCACAAAAAAAAUUGGGGCCUAUUUUUGGUGGGGAUUUUCGGAUUUAGAAAGAAAUCAACAAAAUCAAGCUAGAAAAAGAGGGGUAGGGGCUCCAAAAACGUGAUCAACGUGUCUCAUGAUACCAAGAUGAUGUAGGGCGGAACCUAGGGGCCAAUCUUUCACGUUUGGAGUGGAUCCUACGGGGAAACACAAAGAACGCGCGGAAAACACAAAGGGGAAACACGGGGAAAACGAGAGAGAAUCACUAAACCGACAAGGAAUCAAUCACACAAGUGCUAGAUCACCGAAUACAAAGAGUAACUCAAGAUCCACAAUUAACAAAGGUAAGGAUACAAAGGAACCAUUCUUCUCCGUGAGGAGGUCUUGAUGGUCUUCCCUAGAAAGGGGUCUUGAAUCCGCUUGGGGGAUCUUCUCCGAAGAGGUCGUGAACUCCGAGGAGAAGUAUCCAAGUGGAUGAGCAAGGCUCUCACACAAAUAUGAGCUAAACCAAUGCUAACCCUAGAACGUAGGUGGAGGGGGAGUAUAUAUAGUCUAAGGGGCAAAGGGGUACAUGGGCCUCGGCUCGGAUGCACUGCACGCAGGCAGGCGAGGCCGGAUGUCCGGGCGACGGGCCGGAUGUCCAGGCUUUCCCGAGAUGCCGGAUGUCCGGGCGCUGGGCCGGAUGUCCGGGCUGGCUUGAUCCAGCUUCUGGACGUUCUGUGAUGGGGCGCCGGAGUUCCAGGCUGUCACGGGGCGCCGGAUGUCCGGGCCCUGUAGCACUUCUGUAAGUGCAUCUAGUGUCAUCCCUAGUUGGUUUUGGAGUAUUGACGACAAAGUUGGUUGAGGGACUAAUGCGCUUGUGAGAAUUGCAGGAUAAUGCGGGUAGUGUCCCUCAUUGAUUCGGUUUACCUACUGGAGAUGACCCCUAAAAAUGUAUGAAGACAUUGAAGACAAUGGUGGUAUGAGAAGAUAUUCAUAUUGAAGACUAUGACUGGAGAAGACAUUGAGUGAAGAUUAUGGAGCGCGAAGACUGUGUGGUUUCGUUGUUUCCUUUUCUUCUUUGUUGAGUCAGAGGAACCACCGUACUGUUAAGUGGGGUCCAAGUGAACUAAGUCAGAGUGACUGAAGUGAUGCUCAACCCAAAUCCUAUGUCUUCGAGCGAAGACAAUGAGAGCAAAUCUUAUCCAGAGCUAGAUGAGUCAGCUUUGCUUGUAGCCCAAGUAAAGUUGUCGUGUGUGUUUGAAAUCUGACCGUUAGAACACGUGUCAGUUCCUUAGUGACCCAGGGUCAUUUCGGACAAAUCAGGUCGGGUUGCCUUGUGGCUAUAAAUAGCCCACCCCCUACACCAUAAGUUGGUGGCUGCUCAGAGUUAGUGCACGACUUUUGUCGUUUGAGAGCAACCCACCUCGAAGCAUUUGAGAGAGAGAGAUCCUUGCGAGGAAAAAGCCCAAACACCCAGAGCCAAAGAGUGUUAGGCAUCACUGAAGUCUUUCUGUCUGUGUGACCUGAAGACUUAUUACACUUGAGGACUGUGAAUCCUCCAGCCGGUUAGGCGUCGCGUUCUGAGCAUCCAAGAGUCAUUGUGGAUUGCCGGUGAACGAAGUCUGUGAAGGUUUGGAAGUCUACCUUGAAGACUUACCAGAGUGAUUGGGCGAGGAUUGGGUGUCCUUAGCUCAAGGGGAAUAAGGUGAAGACAUGGUCUUUUGAGUUAAAUCUCAGCCUCCCUAACCAGACGUACAGUUGUCACAGCAACUGGAACUGGUCCAACAAAUCCUGUGUCUUCAACAAGCAACUGGUUCUAUCCCUUUCCAUCCUCUACUUAAGUUUGUCUUCCUGAAGUCAUUGCCUAUCUGUCUUACCUGUUUGACUUCAUUGCUUGACUACUAUCGUGGAUUGGCUUCAUACUAUCUUCCAUCCUGAUCCUUACUACUUAGCUGCUAUUAGUCCUGUACUUUCACAUCAUCAUAUACUUGACUAUGGUUUGCUUAUGGUAGUUUAUCUUCCGCUGCAUAUCAACUAGGUCAUUUCUACUGUUUGUCUUCGAAACUUCCAAGUUUUGAAGACUUUCAUAAAAAUCGCCUAUUCACCCCCCCUCUAGUCGAUACUAGCACUUUCAACUUCGAUGGCUGGGCUGCUGCUGUUCUUGACAUCUUCAGGGGCCGGAUGCUCGGGCCGGGGCCGGAUGUCCGGGUCGUGUAGCCUUUCUCCAGUUCCUCUUGUCGUGCUCCUUCAUCCUUGUACUUGGGGACUUGUCAAUAAUUCCGAGCAUCUCCGAGAGGGUCUCCUUGGUACCUAGGCAUGCGUAGUGUCCUUGCAUUAGAUAGCAACCAUGUCUCACAUGAAUGGAAAGGGGAAGCAUUUAGGAGCAGGUUCACCUUGUGUCCAAUGGCGCAUAGUCGAGGUCUCAUCUUAUGUAUCCUUGGGACUUGGGGAGUAGUGGGAGUGUACAUUGGGAUGAGCGUGGGAUGCUCCGCAUCACACUGCUUGGUCACUUUGAUCAAUAUUCCAUUUCAAAUUCCAGUUGAAUUCAAUUUGAAUUUAUGUGUGAAAUUCAAAAAUGCUCAGACAUGAAAACUAAAAUGUUCAUCAUGUGGAACAUAUUCUUAUGGUAGUAUUGGUGGUGAACCAACAUUUUUGCAAAAUGUCUAAGUGGUCUAAAAUAGCUAAAACACAAAGUUGUUAAAAGAAAAAAACAAAAGUUAAAAAAAGGAGAAGAAAAGGAGAAGGGGUGGGAGAGCUGGCCUCCCAUUGGGCUUCGGCCCAUCCCAGCAGGCCGGCCCACCUACCUUCCCGGUCACUCUCCCCUCCCCCUGUUCAACCUACCGAGGGCGCCGCCGGACCACCUCGUGAUGAGGACAUCAAUACCGUUGUUACACCCACAGCCCCUACUACUACAUAUACGGGACCAAUUACUAGAGCUCGCGCAUGCCAAUUAAAUUUUCAGGUACUUUCGUUUCUUGGUAAUAAUUCUAAUGUUCAUGAGAAUAUAACGCUGCCUAAAUUGGAUACAUUUGUUUUGCUUACAAAUGAAGGGCCUAGCUUGGAGAAGGAUGAACAUUGGAGCAAGAACAAGCAUGGAGAUGAUGCCAUGCGCAAGGGGAACAAGAACAGAGUUACAAGUGAUGAUUUCAGGACUUUGAAGCCACCAUAAUGGGUGCAUGAAGCCUUGGACGAAAUAUACAAGAUGCCACUUCAUAAAUUUCGUCCCGAGGCUAUUAUAGGUGCUGCGUCACCUUUUUAUUGGGCCAGGCCCAUGUAAUUUCGAAAUACAUAAGUAUAGGCUAUUUUUAGAGUCUGUAUGUGUGGGGAAACAAGAGAUAGGGUUGAUUUCGGACCCCUCCACCAAGGGCCACGAAAUUCCCCUCUCUUCCUCCAUAUAUACAGCCCUUAGGGCACCCUUUAGAUUUUGGGUUUUGUUUAGAUUAAAGUUCGCCAUAGCUGCAACUUCGCGUACUUCGUUUGUGUUCAACGACCAGACAAAGGCGUCACCGAACCCCACCUUCAUCAAUAAAGCUUUCAUCUUAUAUUCGCAAUAUCCAGAUUGCAAUCUCAGUUUCUUGCUUGUUCUUCGUUUGCUUGCAGGAAACAAACCCUCGUGGUCAGGUUGAUCGUGCUCCGGCAUGGUCAAUAACCUCUCGGAGUUGGUUUAGCGAUUGCUAAGGCGCGACGUCCUCGCACGUUCAUAGUCGGAUCGUCAAAGUCGACUGCCACCAAAGCGAUAUCCAUCAUCUCAUCGAAAGACGGGACACCUUUGCCUCUAUCAAGUGGUAUCAGAUUUCCAGGUUGCUCGGUGAGAUUUUACAGUUUUUCGUAGUUUAGAUCGAGUCUGUUCUUCAUACCUAUAGUCCACCAAAAAGCUAAAAAAAAAUUAGGGUUAGUUCAUCCCAUCCGAACCAAUCUGAGCCUUGCAUAAUCUUUUCUGUAUUUGCUUUGUUGAAUUUGCGGUUGCAUCGUCGUGUCCAGUUGCUGGUCUUAGCGUCUAGUCUUUUAGAGUUUCGAGUUCUAUUCACAGGUUGUCACGUCGCCGCUGCCAUAUAUCACCACCGCAUCAUCAUCGUCGCUGUUGCCAUAUACCACCACCACAUAUUCACCGCCAAUCCGAAUCCAUAUACACCACCACAUAUCCGCCGCCAUCACGCCAAUCCGAGUUCACUUACAACAUAUAUCCGCCACAUGUCCGUGUUCCACCAGAUUCAUCUCCGCCACCAGUCCGAGUUCCACCAGAUUCAUCUCCGCCACCAGUCCUAGUCCGAGUCUAGUAAUUGUUGCAUUGUUCUCGAUUUCCAGAUCACGCGAUACUCCGAGUCGUGACAGAGAAGGACUCCCCAACUUCCGAGCCAUCCGCAGAAGAAAAAUUGUUCCAAUUUCAAAAAAGAAAAUUAUGGCUAGGCAGUUUUUAGACCAUUUGUAGACUUUUUCGAAAAAAAUUUUGUUGCGGAGCAAAAAAAAAAGAGGAAAAAAAAGUGCAAAAAAAGAGAAAAAAAUAUUCAGAGUGUGCUCCUCCCUUGUUUACGUGCCGCGCUGAUAGAGGUGAGGGUGUCCCGAUCUUUCGAUGAGAUGAUAACUAUCGAUUUGGUGGAGACGACUUUGACGAUCCGACUACAAACGUGCACGACGUUGUGCCUUAGCAAUCGCUAAACCAAUCUCCUGAGGUUACUGACGAUGCCGGAAGCACGGUCAGCCUGACCACGAAGGUCUAUUCCUGCAAGCAAUCGAAGAACGAGCAAGAAUAUGAUAAAGCAAUCUGAAUAUUGCAAAUAUAUAUGAGGUAUUGAUAAUGGUGGGGAUCCGUAAGCGGUCUUGGUCUGGUCGUUGGACACAAACGAAGUACACGAAGUUGCAAUGGCUAACUUUUAACUAAACAAAUCCCAAGGAAAAGCUACUAGAUGGAUCUACUUAUAUAGGAGCAAGGGGUGGCGGCCAAGGAGGUGGGAGGACGUCCCAAGGCAGCCUAAAACUAAAUCUAGGUCGUACAAGGCCAAUGGGCCCAAGUGGAGGUGAUGUGAUGAGGACAUCAAUACAAUUGUUACACCCACAGCCCCUGCUGCUAUACAUACUGGACCAAUUACUAGAGCUCGUGCACGCCAACUAAAUUACCAGGUACUUUCGUUUCUUGGUAAUGAUUCUAAUGUUCAUGAGAAUGUGAUGCUGCCUAAAUUGGAUACAUUUGUUUUGCUUACAAAUGAAGGGCCUAGCUUGGAGAAGGAUGAACAUUGGAGCAAGAACAAGCAUGGAGAUGAUGGCAUGCGCAAGGGAAACAAGAACGGAGUUACAAGUGAUGAUUUCAGGACUUUGAAGCCACCAUAAUGGGUGCAUCAAGCCUUGGACGAAAUAUACAAGACGCCACUUCAUAAAUUUCGUCCCGAGGCUAUUUUAGGUGCUGCGUCACCUUAUUAUUGGGCCAGGCCCAUGUAAUUUCGAAAUACAUAAGUAUAGGCUAUUUUUAGAGUCCGUAUGUGUGGGGAAACAAGAGAUAGGGUUGAUUUCGGACCCCUCCACCAAGGGCCACGAAAUUCCCCCCCUCUUCCUCCAUAUAUACAGCCCUUAGGGCAUCGUUUAGACUUUGGGGGUUUUGUUUAGAUUAAAAGUUCGCCAUAGCUGCAACUUCGCGUACUUCGUUUGUGUUCAACGACCAGACAAAGGCGUCACAGAACCCCACCUUGAUCAAUAAAGCUUUCAUCUUAUAUUCGCAAUAUCCAGAUUGCAAUCUUAGUUUCUUGCUUGUUCUUCGUUUGCUCGCAGGAAACAGACCCUCGUGGUCAGGUUGAUCGUGCUCCGGCGUGGUCAAUAACCUCUCGGAGUUGGUUUAGCGAUUGCUAAGGCGCGACGUCCUCGCACGUUCGUAGUCAGAUCGUCAAAGUCGACUUCCACCAAACGAUAUCCAUCAUCUCAUCGAAAGAUCGGGACCCUCGCCUCUAUUAUGAUGUAACACCUUUGGACUUGUAGUUUGACUCGGAUUCUGCUGCAGCAGCAGAUUGUUUCGUCCACAACUCAACGCUCCGAACGAAUUUGAAGGUGAUUCUAAUUGGGUUGGAAAGUGCACGAAAUCUAGUUUCCAACAAAAAAAGAAUCACCCAAUUCGGAGUCCGUAUGAAAAACUUGUGUCCGUUUUGAGUCAGGUGUGUCUGUGCAGUCCGAAUCUGAAUCCAGAACGUGAGAGACUUGGACUCUAUCUUCUCUUGGGCCAAAAGUGACGUGAGAGAACUUUUUGGACAGCAAAUAAACAUCUCUUUCUUCCUUAUCUUCAUAUGUGGAUUGUACAAAUGUCCCAUACACCUGCAAUUAGACAAAACACAAAAGUGUGUGAAGUAUUUUUGUUCUGGAUAACAUAAAUAGAUUAUUGAAUAGUUUGCACUAGAAAUCACCUGACAAAUAUGCAUAUAUGCAAUAUUUUUGGUCAUAUCCAAGGUAGUCAUGUCCUCAUCAUCCUCCCCUUCUUGAAAAUAAAGCCGUCCUCGGCGUUGCUUAAUCUGAAAUAUGGCUAACAAAAGAGACAAGGUGUACAUGUUGUAUAUGUAUAUGCCAUCCAUUUUUACUUCCCUUGAUUUUUGCAUAUAUGACACAUGAAUAGAUGAGUAACUUGCAUAGUUCAUAAAAUCUAAAGCCAAAAAAUUAGCACAAGAAGUAGAAGGCAUGAAAAUAUUGCAAUUCAGUUUGCACAUAUAAGUGAAGCUCUUAUUCAUUUCAAAAGAUUGACAAUGUUCAUCAUUAAACCAUCCCAACAUUGGUGAAUAAACCUUACUUGCAUCAAAUUUAUAUGCUACAACAUGCUUAAAUAAGCAAACAUGCAAUAAGUCAUUCAACACAGAAUCAUCACCAAGAUUACAGGUCAUAUCAAAAUGAUUAAACAUUGGUUCUUUUGCAUCAAUAGUUAAUUCAAUGGGUGCACUCAAAAUUGUUGGUAUUUCAGUUGUUUGAUCACAUGGCAAAGUCAAAUUAUCAACGUAGUCCUCUAAAAUAGGUGGUGUGAUCAAAGUAGUGGGUAGCUCAUCAGAUGGUGCAUUCAAAUUGACAAGGCAUUCAUCAUUCUCAUGUAGAGAUGGAAGAUCAGUACCUUUGUCAUUACCUCUUAUGAUCAACUCAGAUGAUGUAGCCACUCUCGGGGGCGAUGUGUCACAUGGUGGAGGUGAUGUAGUCCUGACAACAACGGAUGUGGUUGUCAUAGUAUGCCUAGUAGCUGAAGGAACAAUCAUAUCAACUCUUGGAAUGUGCACCGUGCGCUUGUUCUCCUCGUGGCCAACACGUCGUUUUAUUUCCUGUUCAGCUUUGCAAGCAAGAUGAAACAAAUGGUCCAUAGGAUAACACUCUUCAUGAAUUAGUAUCUCUUGAAUAUCACGGUUUAAUCCUCCCCAAAAUCUAUCCAUAAAAUCAUCUUCACUUUCUUCUAAAGAGGAAUGCAACAAGGUAGUUUGUAAAUCAUCAUAAUAUUUUGUUACAGUUUCACUACCUUGCUUUAAGUGUUGCAACUUUUUAAUCAUGUCACGAGUAUAAUAAGCAGGGACGAAAGUAUGUCGCAUGGCAAGUUUCAAAUCAUCCCAAGUAGUAGGUAUAUAAUCAGGGUGUAACCGACAAUAUUCACUCCACCAAACCAAAGCAUAACCAGUGAAAGAACCAACCGCAACCUUAACCUUUUUAUGUUCAUCGAAAUUAUGGGAAGCAAAUAUAUUUUUUAUGUCGAACUCCCAUUCAAUAUAUAAAGCGGGUUUAAAACGGCCAUUAAAUGGUGGUAUAGAUACAUUAACCUGAUCAUGUGCAUUUGGAUGUUUGUGCACCUCUCGUGAUGGUUGUGGUAUUUGCAAAGGUGGUGUCACGUCUCCCGCGAUCGACAAAGCCCAUGAAUUGACUCUGGAUCCUGACAUGAUUAGUAGAACAAGAAACAAAACCCAAAAAUAAUGUUCCUCUAACUACUAGGAUGUGGUGGUAAAACGCUCACAGUAAAGAAAAUAUCAAUGUCUUACAAGUUCUUACCAUGCAGCAGGCGGUGAUCGGCAACCAGCGGUGUCAAGUAACUCCGAAUAUUGAGUAAAGCGAUUGCCAGGGGAGCGUACGUAUACACGGUGUAGAAAUAUGUGGAGCUGGGUUGGCUAUAUAUGGUAGCAAAAGAUUAGCAAUAAUCAAUUCAAAGAUGCAAUGUUGAAUAAACGCUCAACGACGGUACUGUGCUGGUCCUAGGCUAGACCGAACUAGAGACGCGAGCCUAGAACACUAAUGAGGUCACGUCGUAGCACAACCAGCAUCAAUGAAGGAUACAAAGUAGCUCUGGACAGCAAGAUAUAAGUGAAGAUCAAAACGGCAGUAAAGAUAAUGAUGUGAAACAAUAGCCAAGCUGUUUUACUGAACAGUGCACAAAACAGAUUCCAAUCCGAAUUCAGGUACGAGAUUGAUUCUAGAUAGAUCCAAUUUUUUUUCUUCUCUCUUUUUUUCUCACGCUUUUUUUUUCUUUUUCUUCUCCCUCUUUUUCUUUUUUUUUCUUUCCUUUUUUCUCUCUUUUUUUUCUUUAUCUUCUUUUUCUCCCUCUUUCCAAGACAAACUAGAUAAGAUGCAGAUUCGAUCAGGCGAAGAUGUGAGUGACCUCAACUAUGAUUAUGACAAUAAACAGUGCGUAGCACGUGGUGGAAAUUGGUGGAUUGGAUGGUGGACAGCGGAUGGGAUAAUGAUGCAGCGGCUGCGUGACUAAUGUGAACAGAACUCGAAACUCUAAAGGAACUAGACACUAAGACCAGCAACUCGACACGGCGAUGCAACCGAUAAUUCAAUAAUGCAAACAAUGAAUAGAAAAUUGCAAAGGCUCAGACUGGCUUGGAUAAAGGAUGAACAGAUCUAACUUUUUUUGUGGCUUUUUCUUGGACAAUAGGUAAGAAAAUAAAUCUAAUCUAAGAAAAACUGGAAAUUCUCACCGAGCAACCUGAAAACUGAUACCACUUGAUAGAGGCGAGGGUGUCUCGAUCUUUCGAUGAGAUGAUAACUAUCGAUUUGGUGGAGACGACUUUGACGAUCCGACUACAAACAUGCACGACGUUGCGCCUUAGCAAUCGCUAAACCAAUCUCCUGAGGUUACUGACGAUGCCGGAAGCACGGUCAGCCUGACCACGAAGGUCUAUUCCUGCAAGCAAUCGAAGAACGAGCAAGAAUAUGAUGAAGCAAUCUGAAUAUUGCAAAUAUAUAUGAGGUAUUGAUAAUGGUGGGGAUCCGUAAGCGGUCUUGGUCUGGUCGUUGGACACAAACGAAGUACACGAAGUUGCAAUGGCUAACUUUUAACUAAACAAAUCCCCAGGAAAAACUACUAGAUGGAUCUACUUAUAUAGGAGCAAGGGGUGGCGCCCAAGGAGGUGGGAGGACGUCCCAAGGCAGCCUAAAACUAAAUCUAGGUCGUACAAGGCCAAUGGGCCCAAGUGGAGGUGAUGUAACACCUUUGGACUUGUAGUUUGACUCGGAUUCUGCUGCAGCAUCCGAAUUUGAAGGUGAUUCCAAUUGGGUUGGAAAGUGCACGAAAUCUAGUUUCCAACAAAAAAAGAAUCACCCAAUUCGGAGUCCGUAUGAAAAACUUGUGUGCGUUUUGAGUCAGGUAUGUCUGUGCAGUCCGAAUCUGAAUCCAGAACGUGAGAGACUUGGACUCUAUCUUCUCUUGGGCCAAAAGUGACGUGAGAGAACUUUUUGGACAGCAAAUAAACAUCUCUUUCUUCCUUAUCUUCAUAUGUGGAUUGUACAAAUGUCCCAUACACCUGCAAUUAGACAAAACACAAAAGUGUGUGAAGUAUUUUUGUUCUGGAUAACAUAAAUAGAUUAUUGAAUAGUUUGCACUAGAAAUCACCUGACAAAUAUGCAUAUAUGCAAUAUUUUUGGUCAUAUCCAAGGUAGUCAUGUCCUCAUAAUCCUCCCCUUCUUGAAAAUAAAGCCGUCCUCGGCGUUGCUUAAUCUGAAAUGUGGCUAACAAAAGAGACAAGGUGUACAUGUUGUAUAUGUAUAUGUCAUCCAUUUUUACUUCCCUUGAUUUUUGCAUAUAUGACACAUGAAUAGAUGAGUAACUUGCAUAGUUCAUAAAAUCUAAAGCCAAAAAAUUAGCACAAGAAGUAGAAGGCAUGAAAAUAUUGCAACUCAGUUUGCACAUAUAAGUGAAGCUCUUAUUCAUUUCAAAAGAUUGACAAUGUUCAUCAUUAAACCAUCCCAACAUUGGUGAAUAAACCUUACUUGCAUCAAAUUUACAUGCUACAACAUGCUUAAAUAAGCAAACAUGCAAUAAGUCAUUUAACACAGAAUCAUCACCAAGAUUAGAGGUCAUAUCAAAAUGAUUAAACAUUGGUUCUUUUGCAUUAAUAGUUAAUUCAAUGGGUGCACUCAAAAUUGUUGGUAUUUCAGUUGUUUGAUCACAUGGCAAAGUCAAAUUAUCAACGUAGUCCUCUAAAAUAGGUGGUGUGAUCAAAGUAGUGGGUAGCUCAUCAGAUGGUGCAUUCAAAUUGACAAGGCAUUCAUCAUUCUCAUGUAGAGAUGGAAGAUCAGUACCUUUGUCAUUACCUCUUAUGAUCAACUCAGAUGAUGUAGCCACUCUCGGGGGCGAUGUGUCACAUGGUGGAGGUGAUGUAGUCCUGACAACAACGGAUGUGGUUGUCAUAGUAUGCCUAGUAGUUGAAGGAACAAUCAUAUCAACUCUUGGAAUGUGCACCGUGCGCUUGUUCUCCUCGUGGCUAACACGUCGUUUUAUUUCCUGUUCAGCUUUGCAAGCAAGAUGAAACAAAUGGUCCAUAGGAUAACACUCUUCAUGAAUUAGUAUCUCUUGAAUAUCACGGUUUAAUCCUCCCUAAAAUCUAUCCAUAAAAUCAUCUUCACUUUCUUCUAAAGAGGAAUGCAACAAGGUAGUUUGUAAAUCAUCAUAAUAUUUUGUUACAGUUUCACUACCUUGUUUUAAGUGUUGCAACUUCUUAAUCAUGUCACGAGUAUAAUAAGCAGGGACGAAAGUAUGUCGCAUGGCAAGUUUCAAAUCAUCCCAAGUAGUAGGUAUAUAAUCAGGGUGUAACCGACAAUAUUCACUCCACCAAACCAAAGCAUAACCAGUGAAAGAAACCAACCGCACCCUUAACCUUUUUAUGUUCAUUGAAAUUAUGGGAAGCAAAUAUAUUUUUUAUGUCGAACUCCCAUUCAAUAUAUAAAGCAGGUUUAAAACGGCCAUUAAAUGGUGGUAUAGAUACAUUAACCUGAUCAUGUGCAUUUGGAUGUUUGUGCACCUCUCGUGACGGUUGUGGUAUUUGCAAAGGUGGUGGCACGUCUCCCGCGAUCGACAAAGCCCAUGAAUUGACUCUGGAUCCUGUCAUGAUUAGUAGAACAAGAAACAAAACCCAAAAAUAAUGUUCCUAUAACUACUAGGAUGUGGUGGUAAAACGCUCACAGUAAAGCAAAUAUCAAUGUCUUACAAGUUCUUACCAUGCAGCAGGUGGUGAUCGGCAACCAGCGGUGUCAAGUAACUCCGAAUAUUGAGUAAAGCGAUUGCCAGGGGAGCGUACGUAUACACGGUGUAGAAAUAUGUGGAGCUAGGUUGGCUAUAUAUGGUAGCAAAAGAUUAGCAAUAAUCAAUUCAAAGAUGCAAUGUUGAAUAAAUGCUCAACGACGGUACUGUGCUGGUCCUAGGCUAGACCGGACUAGAGACGCGAGCCUAGAACACUAAUGAGGUCACGGCGUAGCACAACUAGCAUCAAUGAAGGAUACUAAGUAGCUCUUGACAGCAAGAUAUAAGUGAAGAUCACAACGGCAGUGAAGAUAAUGAUGAAAAACAACUGCCAAGCAGGAUAUACAACAACUCUCUCUCCAACUUUCCUCUUGAAAAGUUUGAGACAAUUUUCUGAUAAAUUCUUUCAAAGAAUGCUACUAACUCAAGCUUUCCAAUGCAAAAGAAUCACUCAAUUCCGAGUUGAUAUGAGAAGUCAAAGAAUUUUAAAACUGGCCUGAAAAAUUGGAACAAGUUGUGUUCACGAACUUCGGAGGGCAAAAAGACCUAUUUAGAAGCCAAUUUUGAGGUGUCAAAUAUUGAACUAGCUUCUGCAACUAUUUAGAUGCGGCUCAUCGCUAUCUUCAAUUUGAGUACUCACGGAGCCAAAACUGACUUCGUAUGAGGAAGAUAUACCUGUUUUACUGAACAGUGCGCAAAACAGAUUCCAAUCUGAAUUCAGGUACGCGAUUGAUUCUAGAUAGAUCCGAUUUUUUUCUUCUUCUCUCUUUUUUUCCUCAUGCUUUUUUUUUCUUUUUCUUCUCUCUCUUUUUCUUUUUUUUUUCUUUCCUUUUUUUCUCUCUUUUUUCUCUCUUUUUUUUCUCCCUCUUUCCAAGACAAACUAGAUAAGAUGCAGAUUGGAUCAGGCAAAGAUGUGAAUGACCUCAACUAUGAUUAUGACAAUGAACAGCGCGUAGCACGUGGUGGAAAUUAAUAGAUGGGAUGGUGGACUGCGGAAGGGAUAACGAUGCAGCGGCGGCGUGACUAAUGUGAACAGAACUCGAAACUCUAAAGGAACUAGACACUAAGACCAGCAACUGACACGACGAUGCAACCGAUAAUUCAACUAUGCAAGCAACGAAUAGAAAAUUGCAAAGGCUCAGACUGGCUUGGAUAAAGGAUGAACAGAUCUAACUUUUUUUGUGGCUCUUUCAUGAACUAUAGGUAUGAAUGACAGAUGAGAUCUAAACUAUGAAAAACUGUAAAAUCUCACCGAGCAACCUGAAAACUGAUACCACUUGAUAGAGGCGGGGUGUCCCGAUCUUUCGAUGAGAUGAUAACUAUCGAUUUGGUGAAGAUGACUUUGACGAUCCGACUACAAACGUGCACGACGUUGCGCCUUAGCAAUCGCUAAACCAACUCCGAGAGGUUAUUGACCACGCUGGAGCACAAUCAACCUGACCACGAAGGUCUAUUUCUGCAAGCAAUCGAAGAACAAGCAAGAAUAUGAUAAAAGCAAUCUGAAUAUUGCGAGUAUAUAUGAAGUAUUGAUAAAGGUGGGGAUCCAUAAGCGGUCUUGGUCUGGUCGUUGGACACAAACGAAAUACACGAAGUUGCAAUGGCUAACUUUUAACUAAACAAAUCCCCAGGAAAAGCUACUAGAUGGAUCUACUUAUAUAGGAGCAAGGGGUGGCGGCCAAGGAGGUGGGAGGACGUCCCAAGGCAGGCUAAAACUAAAUCUAGGUCGUACAAGGCCAAUGGGCCCAAGUGGAGGUGAUGUAACGCCUUUGGACUUGUAGUUUGACUCGGAUUCUGCUGCAGCAUCAGAUUGUUUCGUCCACAACUCAACGCUCCGGACGCAUUUGAUGGUGAUUCCAAUUGGGUUGGAAAGUGCACGAAAUCUAGUUUCCAACAAAAAAAGAAUCACCCAAUUCGGAGUCCGUAUGAAAAACUUGUGUGCGUUUUGAGUCAGGUAUGUAUGUGCAGUCCGAAUCUGAAUCCAGAACGUGAGAGACUUGGACUCUAUCUUCUCUUGGGCCAAAAGUGACGUGAGAGAACUUUUUGGACAGCAAAUAAACAUCUCUUUCUUCCUUGUCUUCAUAUGUGGAUUGUAUAAAUGUCCCAUACACCUGCAAUUAGACAAAACACAAAAGUGUGUGAAAUAUUUUUGUUCUGGAUAACAUAAAUAGAUUAUUGAAUAGUUUGCACUAGAAAUCACCUGACAAAUAUGCAUAUAUGCAAUAUUUUUGGUCAUAUCCAAGGUAGUCAUAUCCUCAUCAUCCUCCCCUUUUUGAAAAUAAAGCCGUCCUCGGCGUUGCUUAAUCUGAAAUGUGGCUAACAAAAGAGACAAGGUGUACAUGUUGUAUAUGUAUAUGUCAUCCAUUUUUACUUCCCUUGAUUUUUGCAUAUAUGACACAUGAAUAGAUGAGUAACUUGCAUAGUUCAUAAAAUCUAAAGCCAAAAAAUUAGCACAAGAAGUAGAAAGCAUGAAAAUAUUGCAACUCAGUUUGCACAUAUAAGUGAAGCUCUUAUUCAUUUCAAAAGAUUGACAAUGUUCAUCAUUAAACCAUCCCAACAUUGGUGAAUAAACCUUACUUGCAUCAAAUUUACAUGCUACAACAUGCUUAAAUAAGCAAACAUGCAAUAAGUCAUUCAACACAGAAUCAUCACCAAGAUUAGAGGUCAUAUCAAAAUGAUUAAACAUUGGUUCUUUUGCAUCAAUAGUUAAUUCAAUGGGUGCACUCAAAAUUGUUGGUAUUUCAGUUGUUUGAUCACAUGGCAAAGUCAAAUUAUCAACGUAGUCCUCUAAAAUAGGUGGUGUGAUCAAAGUAGUGGGUAGCUCAUCAGAUGGUGCAUUCAAAUUGACAAGGCAUUCAUCAUUCUCAUGUAGAGAUGGAAGAUCAGUACCUUUGUCAUUACCUCUUAUGAUCAACUCAGAUGAUGUAGCCACUCUCGGGGGUGAUGUGUCACAUGGUGGGGGUGAUGUAGUCCUGACAACAACGGAUGUGGUUGUCAUAGUAUGCCUAGUAGUUGAAGGAACAAUCAUAUCAACUCUUGGAAUGUGCACCGUGCGCUUGUUCUCCUCGUGGCCAACACGUCGUUUUAUUUCCUGUUCAGCUUUGCAAGCAAGAUGAAACAAAUGGUCCAUAGGAUAACACUCUUCAUGAAUUAGUAUCUCUUGAAUAUCACGGUUUAAUCCUCCCCAAAAUCUAUCCAUAAAAUCAUCUUCACUUUUUUCUAAAGAGGAAUGCAACAAGGUAGUUUGUAAAUCAUCAUAAUAGUUUGUUACAGUUUCACUACCUUGUUUUAAGUGUUGUAACUUCUUAAUCAUGUCACGAGUAUAAUAAGCAGGGACGAAAGUAUGUCGCAUAGCAAGUUUCAAAUCAUCCCAAGUAGUAGGUAUAUAAUCAGGGUGUAACCGACAAUAUUCACUCCACCAAACCAAAGCAUAACCAGUGAAAGAAACCAACCGCACCCUUAACCUUUUUAUGUUCAUUGAAAUUAUGGGAAGCAAAUAUAUUUUUUAUGUCGAACUCCCAUUCAAUAUAUAAAGCAGGUUUAAAACGGCCAUUAAAUGGUGGUAUAGAUACAUUAACCUGAUCAUGUGCAUUUGGAUGUUUGUGCACCUCUCGUGACGGUUGUGGUAUUUGCAAAGGUGGUGGCACGUCUCCCGCGAUCGACAAAGCCCAUGAAUUGACUCUGGAUCCUGUCAUGAUUAGUAGAACAAGAAACAAAACCCAAAAAUAAUGUUCCUAUAACUACUAGGAUGUGGUGGUAAAACGCUCACAGUAAAGCAAAUAUCAAUGUCUUACAAGUUCUUACCAUGCAGCAGGCGGUGAUCAGCAACCAGCGGUGUCAAGUAACUCCGAAUAUUGAGUAAAGCGAUUGCCAGGGGAGCGUACGUAUACACGAUGUAGAAAUAUGUGGAGCUGGGUUGGCUAUAUAUGGUAGCAAAAGAUUAGCAAUAAUCAAUUCAAAGAUGCAAUGUUGAAUAAACGCUCAACGACGGUACUGUGCUGGUCCUAGGCUAGACCGGACUAGAGACGCGAGCCUAGAACACUAAUGAGGUCACGGCGUAGCACAACUAGCAUCAAUGAAGGAUACUAAGUAGCUCUUGACAGCAAGAUAUAAGUGAAGAUCACAACGGCAGUGAAGAUAAUGAUGAAAAACAACUGCCAAGCAGGAUAUACAACAACUCUCUCUCCAACUUUCCUCUUGAAAAGUUUGAGACAAUUUUCUGAUAAAUUCUUUCAAAGAAUGCUACUAACUCAAGCUUUCCAAUGCAAAAGAAUCACUCAAUUCCGAGUUGAUAUGAGAAGUCAAAGAAUUUUAAAACUGGCCUGAAAAAUUGGAACAAGUUGUGUUCACGAACUUCGGAGGGCAAAAAGACCUAUUUAGAAGCCGAUUUUGAGGUGUCAAAUAUUGAACUAGCUUCUGCAACUAUUUAGAUGCGGCUCGUCGCUAUCUUCAAUUUGAGUACUCACGGAGCCAAAACUGACUUCGUAUGAGGAAGAUAUACCUGUUUUACUGAACAGUGCGCAAAACAGAUUCCAAUCCGAAUUCAGGUACGAGAUUGAUUCUAGAUAGAUCCGAUUUUUUUCUUCUUCUCUCUUUUUUUCCUCACGCUUUUUUUUUCUUUUUCUUCUCUCUCUUUUUCUUUUUUUUUCUUUCCCUUUUUUCUCUCUUUUUUCUCUCUUUUUUUUCUCCCUCUUUCCAAGACAAACUAGAUAAGAUGCAGAUUGGAUCAGGCAAAGAUGUGAAUGACCUCAACUAUGAUUAUGACAAUGAACAACGCGUAGCAUGUGGUGGAAAUUAAUAGAUGGGAUGGUGGACAGCGGAAGGGAUAAUGAUGCAGCAGCGGCGUGACUAAUGUGAACAGAACUCGAAACUCUAAACGAACUAGACACUAAGACCAGCAACUGACACGACGAUGCAACCGAUAAUUCAACUAUG
rnacentral:lncRNA from 1 species